rnacentral:lncRNA from 1 species
CUCUCCAAUCCUAUUCUAAGCAGUUUUAAAAUUUAUGAGGCUAGUCAAGAGAAUGGCUAUUUGAAUGGAUUUAUUUUACUCACACCGUAGUGGAUGCAUGCUUUUAAUCCCGCAUUCCGUGAUGCACCCAACACAUAAGACUUGUCAUGACCUGGUUUUUUGGUUCCCCUUGCAUUGCAUUCCCCAAUGACUAUAACCCUCAUGCACCCCAAGCGAGCCACCCUACCUCGAGGAGCUAGCAGUGAGAGGAGUACUAGCCUUUUCAAAGUAUCUAGGCGGUUACAUUAUAUAUAGAAUUAAGGGGCAUUUUAUGUUUCGACAUCAUUAAUCACCACAAACAUUUCAAUACAAUAUCACAAGAAUUCGGGUGCAGAACCAAUCAUGUCUGGGAUACCGCCCCACUUGGAUUACCUAAUUUACCGUAUCUAUACCCAUUCGAGAAAUACAGUCGUACUCUGUUUCUUUCCUGCUUCUUGACUUGGUCCUUAACUGACCAAGGUCAAUGGCUUGCCAUUUCAUAGAAUCACCCAUAUUCUAUCCGUGUCGCCCCAGUCGAAAUUAUUUUGUUUUGUUAAUUUUUUUGGUUUUCACAAAGGUUUUGAGUUGCGGAUGGCGCUCAUGUCUCCACCCGCUUUCCAAUAAUCACUCCCAUCAAGUGAUCACCACCAUCACAUCCAUAACACAAGCAGGGGUGUACAAACUUCUAAGCAGGCAAUGGUAAGGAGUGUCAAUACUUGACCACACAUUAUAAUAGACUCAGGCAACAAGGAAUACUGGCAAAAAUUUCAAAGAUGGUUUUAGCAUACAAUUUUAUUUGCAAUCAACACAUUUAUCAAAAUAGUAUCAACAUGCUAAAACUGGGGAGCGUAGUGACUUGUCCUGCUCAGUGAGGUGUUUGACAUGGGGUAGCGAGGUAUGAGUGCGGAGGGCAGAGGAAAAGGGAAAAAUAUAGGAAGAAUGCACUGGGCAGCUCGGGUUUUUUAGGCGGCGACGAUUGUCCUCGCUGGCUUGGAGGAGAAGGCGAGGCCGUGGCACUUGAUGUGAGCCCGGAGCAUGCGGAUCGCAUGGACAUGCGUCUCCAGGUGGCUGGGCGCUCGCCCUUAGCGCACUGGACCGGGUCCAAUGGCGGCACGACAUGGAUGUCGGGGCAAAAAAGGCGGGGCCACAAGCGAUGUGGUGAUUCGUGGUAGUUUGGGUGGUGUCGGACGAUCGUUGUGUGGCGUUGCUCAGAAGGAUGGAUGACGCAGAUGGUUGGUGGGUAGCGCGUCCACUUGACGCGUGAAAAUCCGGCGAGGACGGUAGAUGCAACGUCCGUCUCUUGUUGCGGCGCGGCAUGAUAGGGAGCGGCACCUCGGGUCUGUGCAGUGCGCAUGACAAGCGGGAGCAGUGCACAGGAAGGCGAUGCACGAGACAUUUCCGUCCAUGCCAUGGAUAUCACGUUACGGCAUCACCUAGCACAGGCACCAUGCACGGCACGACGCAUUGGAGGAGCAAAGGAUGGACAUGGUGACGUCUCGAAUAGGGUUCGAGGAGCGGCUUGACGUUUUUCAUCGGCGACAAGGCGCGGUGGGUUGGGCGGACUGCGACAACAAGCUUGUUGGCGAUAGGGAGUGCCUUGGACUCCGUUGGAUGGCGGCGACCAGCUUCACAUGCGGGGAAAAAGGGGAUCAAGCCCCAGGGUCGGCGAGUCGGCUCGGUAUCUGUCUAGGCAGUCCACCUAGGAUGGGGAGGGAAGGCAGGCUGGGUCGGGCUAGCCCGGCUGGUGUGGGGCGGGGGAGGUGGGGAAAGAGGAAAAGAGAAGUUGAGGGACUCGUGUUGUCACGACCGGAAAUAACCCAACAGGUUUUCCUUACGUGCGUGCAUUAUUCCUCGUCCCAGGAGAUGAGGUACACAAAAGUUGAUACAUAUCAGAGUUUAACAAGCAGAAGCGUAAAUAGUAUUUUUAUUACAUGGGCAACCAAAGAACCAACACUCAGAGAUAAACGAAGAAGCACGGAAGACUAGGGUGAACACCAUAGGCACUUGACGGCAGGCACGAGCUAGACACCGAAGCCAUCCUCUUCCAAGAACUCCUUUUCUGGGUUGGAGAAAAAAUUGAGCAAGAUCACCGUACUCAACAAGUCACACCAACAAAUGCACAGUAAAUGUAAGGGGAACAAAGAUAGACUAAUAAGGGAUUAGGUUUUGCAGUAAAACAACAUUUUAAACCACUUAUUAGUUGCUCAAAGCCAUUUGGUAAAUUCAAACUAGGUCUACACGGUAUUAUAAUUAUCCGCGGCCGUGAACCCACACGAACCUAUCUUAACCCAAGGCCUACGAAGAGUCGGACUAAACUGGCAGCCUUAAAGCGGGCCCCAGCUCGUCCAAGCCAACCCAAGCUAACCAUUCCAGGUUUUAGUUGAUUGACAUUUUUUUUAGAGUGAAACCACUAACUUGGGUAUAUUGCCCAUAACCGAGGGUGCGGCUAUUCGAAUAGAUUAUACUCUGAUCAGAUGUGUACAUCUUUACCCACAAGACACAUCUUCCUUACGUGUCUCCACACACCACAUACCAGCACGAUAUAUGGACAGAGGGUUUGACAUAGUUCUUCACUCAUCCUAGCCCUGAACAAAAGUACCGACUCAACGCCCGCCUACGGCUGGGGUUAUAGGGACAAACAGGUUAUGGUUGAGCCCUAUGGCAUCAGAAGAUCUCUCAGGAGUGAUCACCCUAAUGCCUGUCCUGAGCCACGACAUCUCGACUACCGGACACCCGCUCGUGUAGCCUUCAUUUGCCUCGAAGAUAUCUAUUACCCGACAUCAUUCUUCUCUAUAUUUGUCCUUUGUAAACAAUAUAUAUUUGUGAGGGAGUCAUAACUUGUAAUAUUAUGGACACUAGACACAUGUACAUAUGCUAUGUAAUUAUAUAUAUCGAUUUUUCUAAUAGUGCUCGUAUAAUUUAUAUGUGACUGCUAGAGAGAGUAAUAUUAUGCAUAUGACGAUUCAAAAGCACAACGAGUGACCAACGGUUACAUAGCACAAGAAGCAUAACGAGCACAACAAGCGCGUAAUAUUAUGCAUAUGACGAUUCAAAAGCACACAAAAAGAUAGAGCGCGUAUCUUUCCAAACGGCUAGCAUGUGAUCCCGUGCGGUCGGCCUAGCACAUACUUACCAAGAUUAUAGAUUAUCUCGUGCAGUCGACAUAUCCAAACCGUUAUCCCGUGUGGUCCUCUCGAUUAUCCCAUACGGUCCACGUAACCCGACCGCACGAGAUAAUAGAUUAUCCCGUGCGGUUGGGCCACCCGCACGAGAAAAUAUUAAUUUUCGCAGAUAGGUAAAGUGCCGACGGGCGGAACCUCCGUACCGAAAAAAAUCCAUUUUAACCGCACGAAAAAAUCGAAUCUUUAGUAGUAGUUGAUUUGUAAGAUUCUUCCAUAAGUUAUCUUUAGUAGUGGUUGAUUUGUAAAAUUCUUUCAUAAGUUUUGUUUAUAAUUAUGACUAGUGGAUAAUGAGGUGUACGGAUUAUUUUUGAGGGAUAGUGCCUGUCUGUCUUAUUUUUAUUGGGGCACAAUAUAGAUGAUUAUAAGGCCUGCCCGGCCCGGCACGACUAUAUAUGACCAUAAGGCCUGCCCGGCACGGCACGGUCACCACUUCGUGCUGGGCCGUGCCAGCCCAUGAGCUGGUCUCCACUUCGUGCCGGGCCGUGCCAGCCCAUGAGCUAGACCAGCGACCACCAGCCCAGACACGAUCCACCAGCGAUCGAGCCAUGCCGUGCCGGCCUGAAAGCACGGAUAGCUCAUCGUGCGUUCUUUGAAAUAAGUCUAUUUCCCCACCCACCCACCCACCCACUUUUGCUUCCUCAUGCCUUACGUAUGGUUGAAAUUAAGUCUGUUAUGCAUACCCAUACUCUCGUACCGGGCCUGGCCAGGCCGGGCCGGCCCAGCGUGCUAGUAGGAAAGCCCAGAAACGGCCCGGCGGUCGGGCUAGGCCUGGACGGACCCAACCACCAGUCGGGCCGUGCCGUGCCUGGAACGGACCAAAAUGCCGUGCCUUGGCCGGGCCAUCAGGCCUCGAGCGGCCAUCUAUAGGGCACAUGAUGAAGUUUACAAGUGAUACUGAAUAAGAGUAUACCCGUCAUCAAUAUGCACAUUGCAAGCGAUCGACGUGAGUUCAUACAUACUAGUGAUUACUGGUACAAAGCUAGCGCGCGGCGUCAUGCGGGUAGCUAGUGCGUGCAGCUAGUUCAAGCCGGUCAUGAGCGCGCGCGGCCGCCAGCCACUAUGGCACGCACGCACGCACGCGUGCCUCGCUAGCUAGUAGCUUAGCUACCCCGUGGCGGUGGUAAAGGUGUGCUUGCCGGACUUCUCGUCAGCGUGGCCCUCCUUCUCGACGCGCUCGUCGGACUCCGCCUCCAGCUUCCUGUCCUCCUUCCGCUCCUCCGCCUCCCGCUUCUUCAUCGGGUCCCCCGUCGUCGCCUUCUCCACCUGCAAUUUGGCCGGUCAUGAUCGAUCAGACACCAGCGAUGCCAGCGACAAGAAACGAGAAUUGAGUACGUACGUACCUUCUCGCCGGCGGUGGCCUUGGCCUUGUGGACGCCGGCCUUGGCGGAGGAUGCCGCGUCCUCGGCCUUGGCUUUCAUGGUCGCCAUCCUCUCCCAAGUCCCAACUAGUCUUUAACACACUCUGCUCUGCAGCUAACUCUGUCUGAUCUGCUCGAUCGGUGUAAGCUAGCUCUUGCGCUGCCUGCGGCCUCAUCGUCGUUUCGAUUUAUAUGCACAAGAUAAAGCGGCGAACGAUCGAUGCGUGCGUGCGUGCGUGUGACACGGACGUGUCGCUUGCUGAGGCCGCCGUGAGCGAAGGCGGGGGAAUCUCUGGAUGCAUCGUGGCACGUCGGCUGUGCAGAGAAUGGACGCGUGUUUGUAUUUGUCCACGUCAAAAGAGUUGCUAAGCUCGAACAACAUUUCCAUCGGAAUUACUUGCUUGCCGGGCCUCAACAGAUGAGUUCGGUAGCUGCCACGUUCACUCACUGCUUGCUUUGAGUGGUUUACGAAUACUUAAUGUUUAUGGUAAAGUUAUAUGAAAAUUUUAAAAAUUUUGAUCAUUAAUAAUUCCUUAAAACUUAAGUUUGCCUUAAAAGUUACAAGUAUUGUAUUUUAAGCUUACUAUAUUUAAUUGAUUUAUUUAAAACAAAAAAUUGAUUGUGAGAUUUUUAAAAGUUUAAUCAAAUCUUAUUCCAUAUGUUAAAUAUUUAUGAUAAAGAGUAUUUUUGUUAUCGUCGAUUAUUUGCUUCAUGCCUCCCAGCAUAGGUUUACUUUUGAAAAAAAGGUUUCUUUUAUUGUCACUUGUUUAAACUAUUUGUUAAAUAAAUAUUUGUUUAAAUUAUGCUAUGAUAAAAUCGAUAAUCUGCGAUAAUGACUUGAUCGACAAUUAAUCCAGACCAAAUAAGGCUUGACUAAUCCACGACAAUAGCAUGAUCGACAAUUAAUUUCAUUUUUGAAACAAUUUUUGUCGUUCCCCUUAGUUCUCAUUCAAUUUUGGUAACUAUACACUUUCAAAUAGAACAAGUGGAAAUGUGGCAUAUAGGGUUUGUUAACUUUGAUGAAAAAAACCUUACUGAAUUUUGGCAUUACCAAAAUUUUGGCAAUUUAGCAUGAUUUCUUAUAUAGUUACCAAAAUUUGGCAGCAAACUAAAUGUAGCCACUUUUUUGGCAACUUUACCAAAAUUUGGUAAGGUUGAAAAUGGCAUCAAAGUGAAUAGGCCCCUAGUUUGGUAACUUUAGAAAUUGUUUUCUUAAGAUAAACUUUACGUUUUGUUAGCUACCAUCGAAUAUCCAUCUUUUGGCAUUGAGUUUUAGUAACAUGGUACAAACUAGACAAGCUCAAAUAUACUAUAAGUUCAUUUUUUUUUCUGGAGAAUUAAAUACAAUUCAAUUUCAUAUAGAUAUAUCUCAAGUGCCACGAGUCUACAACAUCAUCAUUCUGGUCAGGAAAAAGUCCACUUUGACUCCCUUAAAUAUCGGCCGAAUCUAAUUCGUACCCCUUAACAUGAAAACCGGAUAAGAUGUCUCCCCGAACUAUUGAAACCGGUGCAAUUUGACUACCUGGGUGGUUUUGCAAGCGGUUUUGGCUGAUGUGACACCUACAUGGCGGUGUUGACCCGGUCUUCAUACCACAUGUCGUCGACAUGUCACUUAUGUGGAAUUAGAGUAAAAUCAAAAAACAAAAAUUUGUAGGACCAACAUGUCAUCCACACACACAAUUAAAAAAAAGUGGGACCCACUGACAUGUGGGCCCCACAUGUCAUCCUCCCUCUCCUUCCCUUCUUCCUCCUCCCUCCCUCUUUCUCUCCCCCGGUCUCUUUUUUCACCUUGCCCGGAGCGGUGGUGGGGAGCAGCACCGGCGGCAGUGGGGAGCGGUGUUGGUAACAGCGGCAGGGAGCGGCAGCGACCUGGCUGCUCUACCGCUGCCGCCUCGGCUCCGUCGAGUUCUUCCCACAAGACAUCGACACCGUGGAGCAGCUGUAUGUCUUCUAAGAAGUCGCCAUCCAAGAAGCUGACCAAAUCGCCAGGGGCACUCGACGGGAAUCCGCCGCGCCUCGCACCGACACGGAUUCGCCUCGCCUCGCCCCCCCUCCCCCCGGCGCCUCCCCCCGGGCGCCGUCGCCGAUCCGCAUCGAGACCACACCGCCGUGCCGUCGCUCUGCCUCAUGGCUAGGUCACCGCCGCUCCGCUGGAGGCCGGUCCACCGCCACGCAUCUGUUGGUAUUUCUUAACGACAUUGCUAGAAAUAUAAUUCCCAUCAAUAGCACAGAAAUACUCCCGGUAUAUUAUGGUUACAGAGUUCAUCCGCAAGCGGACGGAUAUACCAUUGUAGCAUUUCACCCGAGAGUAUUCCAAGGGUAUCGUAUUUGUUUAAUCCCGUGGGAAGAUCAUAGUAGACAGAACCGUACUAAUAGUUUAUAUGUUACUUGUAAUAAUCAUAGUCUAAGCAGGGAUUAAGAUAAUCCAAGGGUAGAGUGACACACAAGCAGGGAGCUACUCAUUCUCAUACUAUAAUAUCUAAGCUAAAUGGAAAGAAAAGAGAAAGAAUAUCUAUUCCUAUACUUCUAGUAUAUAUAUAUAGUAUAACAUUCUAGUUAUCUGAUAUACUAGCUAAUACUCUAUAUCCGAUGCCCUUCUGGUACUUCGAGAAGCCACCCCUGACUGCCGAGUUCUUUACGACAGCCCGUCAUGCCCAUACAACCGGGGCUAAAUACGGAGGAGUACCCUCCCCAGGAAAUUAACUUAGGACUAUAUACACGCGCGGAGGAAUACCCGUACUGAGCUAUCACCAACAGCGGCCCACCUCUCAUCCGUAGCAUAUAACCCCAAAUAAUGAUAUCCCGUAAUCUAGACACCACGCCUAAACUAUAUAUACUACUCUAAUAUCAUCGUCAUGACAUAGAUUAAUUGCAUAAGAAAACAUUAUACCUGUACCGAUGCAUCUCCUAGAUAAGCUAGCAGUAUAAUCAGUAUAACAUGAACGUAAUGUAAAGUUGGCAUUCAUAUACUCGGAAAGUAUUUCAAUAUCAUAAAUGUAUAAAGAAGAGUAUUCUAAUAAAAGUACGAAGCUUACAAAAGAGAAGAGAAGAGCUACUAGAGCCAUACCUGAAUUCUUCCGAAGGCUUCCAGAUUCCUGAUUUCUAGUCUAUUCCUACUCCACUAGCUCGAGAACACUAAACAAAACUUGAGAGAAUAUGAGAGAGCUUUGCUUGAGGUGUGUGAAUGAAGUGAGGAUGAGAGCUCCUUUUAUAGCCUGAUAAUGACGGUUGUGACGGUUGGAAAGGUCAGUAAUACCCACCAACCGUCUAUUGGUAUUUCUUAACGACAUUACUAGAAAUAUAAUUCCCAGCAAUGGCGCAGAAACACUUCUGGUAUAUUAUGGUUACAGAGUUCAUCCGCAAGCGCACGGAUAUACCAUUGUAGCAUUUCACCCGAGAGUAUUCCAAGGGUAUCGUAUUUAUUUUAUCCCAUGGGAAGAUCAUGUAGAGAGAACUUAACUAAUAAUUUAUAUAUUACUUGUGAUAAUCAUAUUCUAAGCUGGGGUUAAGAUAAUCCAAGGGUAGAGUGACACACAAGCAUUACUACUCAUCCUCGUAAUAAAUAAUCUAAGCUAGGUGGAAAGAAAAGAGAAAGAGAAUAUGUUUCUAUACUUCUAAUAUACAUAGUAUACAUACAUUCUAGUUAACUGAUAUACUAGCUAAUACCAUCUAUCCGAUGUCCUCCUGGUACUUCGAGAAGCCACCCCUGGCUGCCGAGUUCCUUACGACAGCCCGUCAUGACCAUCCAACCGGGGCUAAAUACGGAGGAAAACCCUCCCUAGGAAAUUAACUUAGGAUUAUAUAUAGGCGCAGAGGAAUACCUGUACUGAGCUGUCACCAUCAGCGGCCCACCUCUCAUCCGCAAUAUAUAACCCUAAAUAAUGAUAUCCCGUAAUCUAGACACCACAUCUAAACUACCAGAUACUACUCUAAUAUCAUCGUCAUGACAUAGAGUAAUUGCAUAAGCAAACAUUAUACCCGCACCAAAGCAUCUCUCAGAUAAGCUAGCCGUAUAUUCAGUAUAACAUGAACAUAAUGUAAAGUUGGCACUCAUAUACUCGGAAAGUAUUUCAAUACCAGAAAUGUAUUUAGAAGAGUAUUCUAAUAAAAGUACAAAGCUUACAAAAGAGGGAAGGAAAGCUACUAGAGCCAUACCCGAACUCUUCCGGAGGCUUCCGGACUCCUGAUUCCUAUUCUAAUUCUAUUCCACCAGCUAGAUACUACUAAACUAAAAUUGAGAGGAAAGAGAGAGUUCUUACUUGGGGUGUGUGAGUGAAGUGAGAAGGUGAAGUCCUUUUAUAGGCAGGUAUGACGGUUGUAACUGCUGCGAAAUGUCUGAAGUACCCCGCAACCGCCAUCAGGAGAGGAUCUGGAGCGUCCCUGCCAAACCCCACAUCCAAUGGUGGAGAGGGAGGUUCGGCCGAACCAGGGGCCGGCCCAACCUGGCCCAAAAUCGGCAGGUGGCCUCCUCCAUUGUUCUUCUCCACAGACUUGUGAAUUUUGGCCCAGUUUGUCGUGUCAAUUCUGAGUUCUUGGCCCAUUCAUACAUAAGUCUGGUUCUCGACAUCGUCCGAUUGAUUUAUCGUUUGUGUUGAUGUCGAUUCUCCUCCACUUUAUUGUCAUUCUCUGCAAAAGGUUAGUAAACCUAAUACUAGUGGAAUAUUAUUAUUCUAACAUAUUUAUGCAUUGCAAGCAUCACUAGUUCUCUCCUGUUUUGGUAAUAUUCACGGUCGAAACUGAUCGAUAACGACCGUCAACACCAUCAUUGGGGAGUCAUCUCAGCCAUCUAGGAGAACCCUGGAUCGACUGGCGCCGCGGGAGGGUUCGGCCGAACCCAAUGGUUUGACCGAACCAUGGGCCGGGCCGACCUAGCCCAAAAUCAGCAAGUGGCCUCCUCCUUUGCUCUCAUACGCAGACUUGUGGAUUUUGGCCCAGUUCAUCGUGUCAUUUCUGAGUUCUUAGUCCAUUCAUGCAUAAGUUUGAUUCUCGACAUCGUCCGAUUGAUUUAUCUUCUGAUUUGAUGUCGAUUCUCCUCCACUUUAUAAUUAUUCUCUGCAAAAGGUUAGUGAACCAAAUACUAAUGGAAUAUUAUUAUUCUAACAUGGAUAUGUAUUGCAAGCAUAACCAGUUUUCCUCUAUUUUGGUAAUAUUGACGGUCGAAACUGAUUGCUAACGACCGUCAACAGUGUCGUGGGGUCGCCCAGCCGCGGUUCCACCUGGGCAGCGGGGUCGAAGGGGACUCUAGAGAGAAAAGAGUGAGAAAAGAGAGAGAAGGGAGAGAGAGGGGGAGGAGGAAGAAGGGAAGGAGAACAGAUGACAUGUGGGCUCCACAUGUCAGUGGGUCCCACAAUAUAAUUUUGUGUGUGAAUGACAGAUGGGUCCCACAGAUAUUUUUUAAUUCUAAUGCCAUAUAAGCACUAUGUGGGACAAAAACCGGGUUAACACCACCACCUUAGCGCCACGUCAGCAAAACCGCCCUCCAAAACUAUUGAGGGAGUCAAAUUACACUGGUUUCAAUAGUUCGGAGAGUCGUCCUAUCCGGUUUUCUGGUUGAGGGGGUACGAAUUAUAUUCAGCCUACGAUUAAGGGAGUCAAAGUGGACUUUUUCCUUAUGGUCACACAUGGAUUUUGCAAUACAGAGCUCAUCAAAUGUUCAGCUGCUGAGGGAUACAGCCGUCGUGUGGCCCGAUGCAAUGCAGGCCGGUUUGGGUCGUAGGCCAAGCUGUGAGCCUUCGAGGUGGGCCGCGAUUUUGAUGAGACAGGAUUGCCCUACCAGAAUGGCUGGAGCCUGGUGGUAGUGGGACGGCAGGCAAAAUCAAUUGUCCCUACGUUUUAAGACCAUCCGAAUAUAUUAAUUAUGUGACAGAUUUUUUAGCCUCCUAUCAUGCAGAUUUCUUACCCUUUGGAUGAACAUCUAACGGAUGACAUUAAUAUACACAAACAAAAUACAAAACAACAAACGGGCCACGUGGACAAUCUGAAGCUCACGUGGGUUCAAAUGGGCUCAAGUAGGUUUCAAACUUACAUCGUAAAUACACUAAAAUUACAUAUGUAAUUUUCAGACUUACAUCGUAAAUACACUAAAAUUACAUAUGUAAUUAUAGUGUAAAUACGAUGUAAUUCAGACAAACUCUCUCUCCGACGCGGAUUUCAAAAUUUCAACAGUAAAAGUGGGCCCUAUAUAAACUCUCACGGAUACAACAUACAGUGGGUCCCACAAAGAGAAAAAAAAGUCCAACAUAACCCGUGAAAGCCCAAAGCCCACAACUAAAAAUACUCAAAAGCCCACAAAGAAAAUAGACAAAAAAGAAAAGAGUGCACGAAUCUCAAAUAGAUCAGAGGGCCAAUAAAAUGCAUGAUGCAGCCCAUAAAAAUCAUGCGACAGACAGAUAGCCAUUCCGUAUUAAUUAAGAAGGAAUAAAAGUUAAAAAAAAAUACCACAAUGCACCAAGGUGCAUGACCACACACCACGCGUUACCACCCAAGCACAAACCACUGAGGGUGAAGCUUACCACCAAACGACCCCCGCUAAGCAUGGCCAAACGCAGCUAGGCCUACAGCAACACCACAGAGACGAGACUACGAAAAUGAUGGCACCACAGUGGUCAUGACAUACAGGAUGCUGCCAUCGCCCAUCUAAAAAGAUGUGGUUUUCACCCAGAAAAGCUCGACAAGAAAGGGAGAGGGUAACUCUCGACAACGCCACAAGGAGGUUAUGACGCCCGAAGGCAUAGCCACUGUCGGCCCGGUGAACCACCGAACUAGGCUUUUGCCUGGGACCCUACAACCUUGACUGUAGAUCGCCGUCCACCAACUCAGAACCACCACAUGGACAAAUGGCAGCACGUAGCUUCCACCACACCACACCAAGGCCCCUCCGUCGGCCGACUUCAUCUAACCACCACCCCUGAGAGCUGUCUCAGGACCGCUCCAUUCCACCACCCGCUGGCCUCCUCGCCAGAUUUGGCCGGAGGAGAACCCGGGCUGGGUGGCAUUGCUUCGACAGCCUGAGCUUUCCCGCUGAUGAGCAGCCGCCUCAAUCCAACUUAGAAACUCCCCGCAAAAAAGGGAAGGAGCUCCAGAAAGAGCAAGGGUACCGACCGACAACCAGGAAGACUUCCCACCACCGCCAGCACCCUUUGCACUACCAUCUGGGCAUGCACCGAUGCUGGUGACGGUACCGCCGCUCCGACUCCGGUGCCACCCACCGGCACCCCUGUUGCCUGGCCACCGCGCCACCCACUUGGCGUUUAGGGCUCCACAGCGGCACCCCGGCUACCUGGCAGCUCGCAGCCGCGGCGCCCUGGGCUGCCUCUCUGGCAGGCCUCGCCACCGCCGAGCCGCCGUCGCCGCUCCCAGCUGCCCCGCGCUGCCUCGUGCUCGGGCAAGCCGAGCCGCCGCCGCUACUCCCCGCCGUCGCGCCAGAUCCAGGCAUAGGGUGGCCAGAUCUGGCCUCGAGGGCACCGGAUCCGCCACCUCCCCACACCGCCCCGCCGUCUCCGUCCGACCGCAGUGGGGGGUGGACUUGGUCGGCUUCUCCCCGCCUACAUCGCGCUGAGCUAGGAGUCGCCAAGAAGAAGAAGGGCCUCACCGCCGCCUUCCUUGCUCGCUGCUGGCUUUGCCGCUGACGAGCUCCAGUGGUGGCGAGAUGGGGGAGAUGGAGUGGAGGCGCGGGCGGCUAGGGUUUUUUCGCCCCCCGAGCCGCCCGCGCGAGAGCAACUCAGGGAGCACUAAUUGUCCCUAUGUUUCUUUGGCAUCCUUUAAAUUGUCAGACUGUGAAACCAUAUGACAAUAAGAAGUGUAUAAAUAGAAUACCAUGUUCGUUCAAUUCCUUGAAGAAGUAAAUAAUAAGGAAGAGUCAAAACUAUAUAUCAUUUGGAUGCCACACCGAAAAAGUAUGAGAACAUAGGGAUCGUUCUUUUCAUCGUAUUGACUUAUGGAUUAUGCGUACCGUGGUUAUAAAACUAUGAUUUCUUAAAAAAAAGAAUUGCAUUAAAUACAUGUUUGGAUCUAUUUUCGGUUCAUACUACUCCCUCCGUCUUAGAAUAUAAGAAGUUUUAGAGUUGGACACGGUUAUUAAGAAAGUAAGUAGAAGUGAGUGGUGGAGGACUGUGAUUGGAUGAGUAGUGGAGGUACGUGGGAAAAGUGAAUGGAUAAGGGUUGUAAUUGGUUGGGAAGAGAAUGUUGAUGGAUAAAUUGUAAUAUUUUGGGACCAAUCCUAAGAAAUAAAACUUGUUAUAUUUUAGGUCGGAUGGAGUAAAUAGUAAUAUGCAUGCAUAGGAAUACAGUCCAAUCAUCCAUAUAAAGAAUAGAGCAUUAAAGCCAUAGGAAAAAAGAAACACAUGUGGCAAGAACAAAUGGUUAUUUUCGUCCAAUAUAGUCCUCCAGAAUAACCAAUUUCAUAGGAACUUAACAGAAAUGAAUCAAUCCUCUGUGCCAAUGAGUUAUAUAGGAAAUUUUCUAAAGGAUUUAAAUCCUUUCAAAUUCCUUAUUUUUCCAUUGUUCAAAAAGAGGCAUUAAAGUACUGAAGAUGUAUAUAUGUUGUAACUAAUUAGAUGUUUCAUAGGAAGGUGCAGUCUACCAAUCAAUACAAUUAUUAAAAUUGACCAUCAAUAUUUCUUUGAAUAUUUCGAUUCAACUUUUUAAAAUAAGUAUCAAAUCAAAUCAAACUAGUAUAAUUGAUGAAGAAAAAGGAAAAAUGGAAAACGAAGAAUAAAGGUCCCACCGAGAUUUGAACUCGGGUUACUGGAUUCAGAGUCCAAUGUCCUGACCACUAGACCAUGGGACCGUAUAUGUUAAAAAUGACAAAUUUUGUAUUCUUUUCCAAAAUAGCGAUCUUGUGGCCCAGCAAGAAAAUUUGAAAGAAUGUUACAAGGGUGCUCUACUAUAAUACCAUGUGACAGUCUUUGUUACUAUAUGUGAAACGGUACAAGAAUAACUCUAUUUAUUUUUAAAUUUAUAACGACGCUAACUUUGAAACACAUGUUUAACCAUUCGUCUUACUGAAAAACAGGCAAUUAUCAUUUAUUAUGUUAUUAUUUGUUUUAUUAUUAAAUGUAUUUGAAGCAUGAAUUUUAUUUACUUGCAUAUAUUUUUUGGAUGAAAUGAAUGGUAAAAUUAAUGUAUGUUCGUAAUAUCGUCAUAUAUUUAAAUACAGUAGUAUAGAGACGGAUUUACGAUCUUACGAUACAUUUAUAACAUUUAAAAAAAGGCCUAACGUGUCGAGGAUGACCUGCAUAUGCCACAUGGCUAGCUCCAUCGUUUAGGAUAAUGAAGAACUUGGAGGAUGCUACACGUCGGACGUCCGAUAUUUCGCAAAUAUCGGAUGCCCGACCCCACACUGCCACGCACCUACCGCAUGCAUGUAAGCCCGUGUUGCACUUUUACUCUAGUUUUUACUACGUCCUUUUUGCUACUCGUGGUUUCGUGGUUGCACAAUCUCUACUGUUUAUACUCUAAUUGAUUAGCAUGUGUAAGAAGUUUAUAUGCUUGCGCAUGCAUGUCUUCAUGGUUGCAGCACUUAUCUCAACCUACUUUUUAUUUUAUUAAAUUCAAUUUCCUUCUAAAUUAAUUAUUUGAUUUAUGAUUCGAUUUCACCAUUAAACUCCUUGCAAUUGAAUCUUUACAACAAGAUCUCACACGACUAUUUUUUUAUGAGAAAAAUCGAACGUUGUUUCAUAACUUAUAAAAAAUUGUUUCACCACUAGGUCAAAUGUCCAACUCAGUCUAUAAAAUGUUUAUGAGAAAUGCAACAUUCAAGUAAUACUAAAUGCAACACCGAUAAUAUCUGUAUGAAACAUUGACUCUCAAUGAGUUAGACAUAAAAAAACUUGCUUAAAUGUUCCAACUUAGUCUAUAAAAAUAUUUAAGAGAAAUGUAACAUUCAAGAAAUACUAACUGCAAUACCGAGAAAUCACAAUUAAAUAUUUACAGCAAGAUUUCACAUGAUUAUUUUUAUAAUUUAAUCACAAGGUGUUAACUAUUGAAACAUCAUAUAAUAUUUACUAAAACAUAAGAAUGAUACCAUGUGCAACAUAUCUCUUUUUAAUUAACUAAUGAAUACUUAUUGAAACACUCAACCAACACAUAUGCAAUAUUUACAAAUAAACCAAUAAAACAUAAUAAACUACUUACUUAAACAUACAAAUAGCACCAUGUGAUACAUUCAAGAAAGAUAUAUACAUUACGACACUAAUUAAAUAUGUGCAACAUAAUAGAAUUUCAGCCGAAACAUCUGAUUCUCACAUGUGAAAUAUUAAAUUUAAUCGGUUAAAAUAUAUGUGUUUUUUAUUAUAAUAUAGUCAUGUGAGAUUUUGUUGUAAAGAUUUAUUUAUAACGAAUACAAUGGUGUAAAGAUUGGAUGAGUAAUCUGGAAGAAAAAUCAUUUUCAAGUUUGCUAAAAAGGGUGCUAUGUAUAUCCAAAUAAUCUCGUGUCCUCUCUUCUUCAUGCAUGCUAAUGCUAAGUAAGGAAGCAUAUGUAAAAGAUGUGAAAAGAGAAGAUCUGACAAAAGGGAUACGAGGCUGCAUGUAGCAAAUUAAGUGAUAGUAAGAGGCGUCCGAUUUUUUUCUCGAGAUCGGACGACCGGGUUGAAGCAUUUUCCGAAGAACUUCCCAUGGAAAGCAAAUAAAAAUGUAGGUCAUGGUGACCUACAUUUCUGUAUUGAUUGGCGAAACACAUCCUAGUAUCACCACGUCAUGCGUCCUGAAAAUACCUCACUACUAAUUUGAAUACAACAUGUGUCGAAAUUAAAUUGAUGAUCAAUAGCUUAAACGCUAGAGAAGAGGUGAAGUAAAAUAUCAAAUCAAUUUUGUGGGGAACACCUUCAUCAAGCUUACAAGAUCAUAUCAGGCAUACUAAUGAGAAUGAAGUGUAGGGACAACUUGGUCCCCAAACUUAUUUUGGGUGUCAUAUAUAUCUAAACAGACUCUAACCCGAUUCGUGAGCAAAUGUGGCAUGUCAAGGUGGUGCGUACGGUCUACAUGUCAGAGACACCCACAUGUCAAUUAUAUAGAAAAAUAAAUAAAAUUUGAAAAGAUAGAAGAUAUGAGAGGAAAAGAUGUUUUAAAUUUUGAAAAAAUAAAAUUAAAAGAGAGAGAAAGAGGAGAAAAAUAUGUUUUAGAUUGUCUCUAUAUGUGACAGAUAUGUGGAUUCCAACAAGCAAGCGCUACCAUGACAUACCACGUUAACACGCAGAGUGCAUCGGAGCACGUUUAGACCUAUAUGAUGCCUAACAAGUUUUGGAUACCCAAAAUGCAUUUUCAAAAUUCAGUAACCUAGAUAAUAUACCUACACAAACUUAGGGACCGUCAUACAAUGUAUGGAGAACAUGCGGAAUCGAGUGCAACAUCAAUCGACUAGUUAAGGCAGCUGUACCUGCCAAAUCCAAUGCAACAUUUUGAGACUCCAAUGCAGAAAAAAUAAGGUUGGCAUGCCAUAGUUAUAACAAACAACUAACAAGCUUUGCUACUCCCUCCUUCUCAAAUUGAUCAUCAUAUAAUAGAAUCCAAAAUUUCUCAAAUUGAUCAUCAUAUAACCAUAUGGAUAUGGAUUUCAUCGAAAUAUAAUAAAUGCAACAUAGGAGAAUGUGUGCAUGCAAGGGUGUUAUUGGCAUGGUGUUUUAAUUUAUGCAUGCAUUGUGAGAAAAUAUGUACAUGAUGUCUUGGUUGAUGCGAUUUAAAUUAUCUAUGGUCUUGGUGCAUAUAUAAACAUAUAUAUAGUGAUCAAUUUAGGAUAGAGAGAAUAUUUUGCAAGCGCCUGAAGAUGCCCUCAGUCCCUCACUAAUUAACUAAAAGGAUAGGCUAAAGCAAACAAUGGCAUAUGUAAGGUUUAGCGUGGCAAAUACUUGUGCUAACCAAACAUCUUCUUACUUAUUAAUUGGAUCUUGAAAUGAUACUAAUAUGAGUUGUACCUCUUCUUGCAUUGUGUCAUAAAACCAAAGCUUCAGCACAUCUUCGUUGUGCAAAUAUAUUAUGCUCGUGCGUGUGGAAGGUCACCUAAUUAACCAAGGUGCUAGGGAUACGCUUCUUUUUAAGCCAGCUAGCACUAUAGGAUUGAUAAUUUAUCAUAUUAUUUUGGUGUUUUUAGCAUAUCGAACUUCGAAAAUAGAACAAUUUUGAAUACCCAUUUUUUGUUGGUCGAAUGAAUAUAAUAGAACAAUUUUGAAUACCCACUUUUUGUUGGUCCAAUUGGGGGAAGCUGUAGGCGUUCCUCAGGUCAAUCUAUUGGGGUGCCACCCACUUGCAUAUAUACAAAGUUUGGCGCUAAAUUGUUCCUGACACAAUUUAAAAUCCUUCGGAGCUCUUUAGGAUUGGACCAGAACGUGGCGCGCCCUAAGUAACAUCGGGAGUGUAAUACUAAAUCUUCUAGAGACAAAUGUAUAAACAUAUACUUUUAUAUUCCGUACUACUAGUGUAUAUUCAAUAGAGAUUCACUAAUUGCCAGUUUGCCACGUUAAAAAAAAAAAAGAAGAGGGAAACUCAACGGCUGCCAAGUGAGGAGUUUAACUGGUUAUGUUUCUAGUAGUAGAACCAGCUCAUCCAGAUUCAAAUUUUAGAUUUGGUAUAGAUUUAGCAUGGGUGCUCGUAUUUUUGGUUAAUUAUUCUUUCAGGAGUAGGCGACGUACUUGUCGAUAGUGAGACGCUUGUGGUGACUUCAACAAUUUCAAGAUCCAAUCUUUCGGAGAUAUUCAUAUGGGUAGGAUGUGCAUAUGUGUGUUCAUAGGGACGAGUGUGCAUAUGUGCGUUCGUAGGAACGAGUGUGCGUGGUAUAUCGGCCCAGUCUUUUAGAGGUGUUCAUAUAGAUAGGAUAUGCGUGUGUUUACAGUGCGCGCGUUGUGGACUUAUCUGUUUGUGCUGUGUUUUAAAAAAGAAAGAAAAACUAGACGGAUGGGUUGCUGGGAUUCUGGGCGCAGCGCGGCAAGCCCCAAACACGCGCCCUCUCCAAAGUCGAAAGUCGAUCGCAUACGAAAGCGCUGCAGAUUGGUACGCGAGUGUUGGCCAUUGGCCGUAUUUUCUUUAUCCCUCUUUAUUAGUAGCACUCCACAUAAUGUAUCUGAUGAAGCGAGAAAUGGGCGGCAUCUUCCUCGGCAUAUCUCCCAGUUGUGUACGGCGAUGUCAACUCCCUCACCCAUUUCUUUAACCCGUCCACGGCUCCACGUCGCCGUCACCAGUGAGCAAGCUAGCUACCACCUAUCGGCUAUCCCGUCGUCGUCUAACCUCCGCACUCCGCCGGCGACUUCUCCCUGUAUAUAGAUAUCAAACCACCACUCAAAGAAGCUAAAGAACCAACGGUUGCUAGUGCUAGCUAGCUAGGUCGGCAGCAAUGGCGCCGAGGAUACGGGUGCUCGCGGCACUGGACCAGGCGCGGACGCAGUACUACCACUUCAAGGCCAUCGUCAUCGCCGGCAUGGGCCUCUUCACCGACUCCUACGACCUCUUCUGCAUCUCGCCGGUCAUGAAGAUCUUCGGGCGGGUGUACUACGCGCCAUCGGGAUCAGUAGACGGCAGCGGCAGCGGCCCCGGGGUGACGCCGCCGGCCGUCGUGUCGGCCACCGUCGGCGUGGCGCUGCUGGGCGCGGUGGCCGGGAACGUGGUGUUCGGCGCGCUGGGCGACCGCGUGGGGCGGCGCCGCGUCUACGGCGCGUGCCUGCUGCUGAUGGUGUGCAGCUCCGUCGGGAGCGGCCUCUCCGUGUGCCGGACGCGCCGGUGCGCGCUCGCCAGCCUCUGCUUCUUCCGCUUCCUCCUCGGCGUCGGCGUCGGCGGCGACUACCCGCUGUCGGCCACCAUCAUGUCGGAGUUCGCCAACCGGCGCACCCGCGGCGCGUUCAUCGCCGCCGUGUUCUCCAUGCAGGGGUUCGGCAUCCUCGUCAGCUCCGCCGUCACCAUGGCCGUCGCCGCCGCCUUCGACCACUACACCGGCUACCCCGCGCCGCUCGACACGCCGGAGUGCGCCGACCUCGCCUGGCGGAUCAUACUCAUGGCCGGCGCCGUCCCCGCCGCGCUGACGUACUACUGGAGGAUGUCCAUGCCGGAGACAGCCAGGUAUACAUCACUUGGUCACUGACAUGUGGUCCCCAGAUGUCAUACAUCCAUGCUAGCUUGCUCCGUAUCUUUGACUUCACAUUUACCAAUUUUGAACAUAAUAAAAAAUUCCAAAGUUUUUGAUUGGUAGAUUAGAUUAAGAGUAAACUGACUAUAUCUUAAACUAUAGUGAUAGUGGAAGAAUAUACCGAACGUGAUCCCAAGAACAAAUUCAUCCUUAACACCAUACGAGAAGGAAUCGAUCGAGUAUGCUAAUCACCCGACCGUUCGCGUGAUUAAUCAAAGCCUAUUCCUUGUCACUAUGACACCGUCAUAUAUCUAUGCAUGGUCAAUUGCUGUUUCUUUUCUGUAGGCUUAAGUUAUUACUAGUAUAUUAUCAUGAAGUUGCCAUUGGCUACGAAGUUCUAGAAGCUCAAGCACACAUGCAUCUCCUUGUGAGCAUGCAUACUUUUGAUUAUCUAGAACUAAUCACUCAUACACGCGUCUGUGUCAUGGCUGAUGUCAGCUCAGCAUAUAUAUAUUCAGUGGCAGUCAAUGCUAUUGCACAAUUAAUUUGCACUUUAGCUUUAUGCAAGCAGUUGCUAGCUGCCUAGCUAGGGUGAUUAACUAGAACAAAAAGGGUUUAAGCACCGAACCACCAAAAAGCUAAUCACCGUACUUAACGUACAACGAGCAGGUAUACGGCGCUGGUGGAGCGCGACGUGGUGAAGGCCACCAACGACAUCGGCCGCGUCCUGGCCGACCUCGACCUGGCCGCCGUCGCCGAGGAAGAGGUGGCGGCGGCGGCGUUGAGCCCGCCUCCGGUGACGACGCCGCCGCCGCCGCGCCCUUCGUACGGCCUCUUCUCGCGCCGCUUCGUCCGGCAGCAUGGGAGAGACCUGUUCGCGUGCGCGGCGGCGUGGUUCCUCCUCGACAUCCCCUACUACAGCAGCACGCUGUUCCAGUCGCAGAUCUACCGGCCAUGGUUCCCGCCGGCGGCGAAGGUGAACGCGUUCCAGGAGGCGUUCAACGUGGCCAAGUUCCAGGCCGUCAUCGCCGUCGCCUCCACCAUCCCGGGCUACUUCGCCGCCAUGCUCCUCAUCGAGCGCGCCGGCCGGCGGCGUCUCCAGAUGGCCGGGUUCCUCCUCAUGGCCGUCUUCCUCUUCGCGCUCGCGGGUCCCUACGAUGGAUACUGGCGCGACCACGCCAAGACCGCCGGCUACAUCGUGCUCUACUCGCUCACCUUCUUCUCCGCCAACCUCGGGCCCAACACCACCACCUUCAUCCUGCCGGCGGAGCUCUUCCCGGCGCGCUUCCGGUCGACCUGCCACGGCCUGUCCGGAGCGGCGGGGAAGCUCGGCGCGCUCGUCGGCUCCAUCGGCUUCCUGUGGGCGUCGCAGCAGAAGGACGGCGCGGCGGCCGGGCACCUGCCGGGCAUCGGCAUGAUGUACGCGCUGUUCGUUCUUGGCGGGAUCUGCCUGCUCGGGCUGGCGCUCACCUACGCGUUCACGCCGGAGACGAUGACGCGGUCGCUGGAGGAGAACGAGAGCAGCGUGCAGGCGCAGAGCCAGGUCGGCGACGGCGGCAGCGAUGCCGGCAAUGGCAGUGAUGGGCUGCGCUUCCACGAACUAAAUGUUCUCAUGGAGGCGGCGACCAAGAGCCCUGUGUCCAUGGCGAGCUCGCACCUCAGCAUGUCGCCUAUCCUUCCGCACCGGAUGUCUCUAUGACAAUGUAAAUUGAACCAAAGUAACUAAAUGUUUAAAAAAGUGAUCAUUUUAUAGUUUUGAAAAGGUAUCGAGAGAUACAAAGUAGUAUCUCUUGAUAUCUCUGGUGUUAGGAAGUACAAAGUUUGCACUAAAAUUUGAUACCUCUUAAUACAAUCAAGGAACAUAAAAUUUCUCAAACUUAAAAGAGUAGAAAAACAUAGGCUUGUCAUCCUUUGGAUUGGCAGGAGGAGCGGAAACGCGGAUUUAUUUACAGUGCUUCUUAGGUUUUCUCCCAUUCUAUAUAUUUACCUUUCAGAACUUUAGAGAGAAUGUCACCUAGUUUAUUACAAAUCUAUAUAUCUUUUAAAUAUUUUGUAAGAUAUAUUAAUAUGUGAUAUGAGUUCACAAGCCUAUAAAUUCAAAUGAACAUCAACAAGAUGUAAAAGAAAAAAACAAACUCUAGCUAGCAUGUUAUAUUCAUUGUCAUAUUUGUCUUUUAUAACCUGCAGAGGUCAAAUUUAAACUUACAUAUUUGUAGGGUGAUAUAUCAUAUAUUAAUCUAUCUUUCUUUCAUACUUUUAUCAUCAGAGACUCAAAAUAAGUUCAUUUUAGUUUUCACCCAUUACACGCAUAUCAACAACAAUACGAAGUCCUCCACUUUAUCUAGUCCCAAUGUAAUUGUUCCCCACUUUAUCUAGUGCACUACAAUUGUCUCUCAAGGGGUGUUUAGAUUCAGGGGUGUAAAGUUUUUGCGUGUCACAUUGGAUAUUAUAUAGAGUGCCGCAUGGGGUGUUCGGACACUAAAAAAACUAAUUACAGAAUCCGUCAAUAAACCGUGAGAUGAAUUUAUUAAGCCUAAUUAAUUUAUCAUUAGCAAAUGUUUACUGUAGCACCACAUUAUCAAAUCAUGGAGAAAUUAGGCUUAAAAGAUUCGUCUCGCAAAUUAGUCACAAUCUGUGCAAUUAGUUUUUUAAGCCUAUAUUUAAUACUUCAUGUAGGUAUGUUCAAGCAUUCGAUGUGACAGAGUGUAAAAUUUUGGGGUGGGAUUGUUAACGACCAAAUUUGGUAAUGCCAUAGACCGGAUUCAAAGCUAGAAUCAAAGCCGAUUUGGAGAGAUUCUGUUCGAGAAAGCAGAGCACGCAUCAGCUACGGGAAGCAUCGGCUGCCACAUGAAUCGACUACAGGCAGUUUUUGCUGCCGCAUAUCGGCUAGCGCCAAAUCCAACGGAGUCAAGCCAAUGCAACUAGUCUCGAAAAAGAUGGUCCCAUGUCUAUCAUCGGGAUUAGCUAAAGCACUUCAUAGCCAUUGCCACAUAAGGAUUGGAGUCCUAAAAAGGGGCAAUUGUAUCAAUUAAUUAUGACAUUUUUCAGUUUCCUUAGAGAUAUGUUUGGUAUGAGUCCACCUAAAGGACUUAUUUGUAUUUUAAAUGUGUUAGAGAUAAGAGUCGUGUCCAGCAAGGACAUGUUAUGUACUUCGGGUAUAAAUAUGACCCGACACCUUGUAAUCAAGUGACGACAGUUCGAUAAUAUUUCGGCGCAUCGCCACCCUUUUCUAUUUUCACUGUUUCGACGAGUUUUUGCUUUCAAGUUGGGUUGUAUCGGGUUCGAUCUCCGAUGACGAGGUAAGGCUUGUUAUGGUGGUUUGUGUUCUCGGGAUUAGUGCUUACAUUUUUAUGACACUCUAAUCUUGUCUAUGUGAAUCGCCGAGUUAUCAUAUAUACCGCAUAAUCUAGAUCAGUCUCGUCAUCUAAACCUCAUCGCCUCUAUCGUCGAAAACGGGCUGAUAGGUUUAGGCUUCGAUGCCAAGCCAGACUAUGCGGUGUGUCUACCAUCUUGAAUGAGUUUUCAUCGAAUUGCUUGGAUCUUAUGUUUCUUUUCACGCUUAAUGUUGCAUCGGUUAGGUCCGAUCUAUUAAGUAUUGUCUUGAAACGUCUUAUCUAGCUCUUUCUCUGAAUACUAAUAGAGAUAGCAUCGGGGUUUCAGCCGAUCUUACCUGAUUUUUAGCCGUCUUGUUUCCUACUUGGUUCUGGAUCGUCUAAAUAUGCUCUUUAUAUCAAGAUCUCGUCCGUUUAAAGUAUAUUAAGCUUCCUAUUUGUCUGCUAGUUUACCCUGCUUGUUAGAUUGACCUCAGUUUUGUAUAUUUCUUCCGUGCUGAUAUAUUGGUAUAAGGUGGUAUCGGAGUACUAGCCGAUACACGUUAGGUUUGCUUCAUCGUCUAUGCUGCGAGCGUACAUAAUCCCAACUUUGAGGCACAUUUAGAUAUUGAGUGAUUUAUAUUGUCUCGGCGUAACAUCCGAUCUAUCCCAAUCAUUCGGUCUAAGUGCGUUCCAUUGGACGGAUUACGUAUCGUUAACAUCUACAGCCGAUCGAGUAGACCUAAUAAUCUCUAAGUUUUAUCUGCCUUUGCCGAUCUAAUGUGAGUUAUAUCGGCUUGGCUUCGGACGAUACGUUGUCGGCAAUCCAGCCAAUCGGCUACCGUUGAUGGAUUUAACUCUUCGUCCUUUUUUCUAUCUUGUUGGUUGCAGGAUCAAACCAGCUGGCACGCUCAAAACCCGAAGGCAAUUUCUUUGGACCUGCACUAGAGUUAAGCAGAUCUCUCAGGCCAUUGCGUGUUUUUCGCGUCAACGGGGAUCUAAGCAUGCCCUCACUUUACCUAUUCUUAAUGUAUUUAUCUCCAUUUUCACAAACUCCAAUGCAACGAUUGUUUAAAAAAUGAAGUUAUUUUGAGAUGGAAAAAUAGAUAGCAUGUAAGAAUUAUUAGAAGUUUUUUAAAUAUAUUGUUGGAUGCAUUAAUUUUGCAAAGGGUGGCUAUCCCCUAUUCAAUAGUGUUGUGCCCUUCUCUCUAUGAUGAUAACAUGUCCCACCUCUCCUCACUCAUCUAUGAUGGCUCGUGUUGUUGGAUUAGGCACCAGUACACUACUGCUCUAGUCACUACUACAAAAACGAUUUUUCAUGGCGUUGCCCUAUAAUUUUCGCUGGCGGUCAUACGCAAAAACCGCCACAAAAAUGUAACGAGGGGUGAGGGGUUACGGACCGCUAGCGAAAAUCGGUUUUCGCUGGCGGCCACACUUAGAGGCCCGCCAUAAAAAAAUGGCUCUAUUUUCAUUGGCGGCCACGCUAAGAGGCCUGCCAUAAAAAAAUCGGAUUUUCACUAGCGUCUGAUUUUCGCUGGCGGCGGCUAACUAGCGCCGACUACGAAAAAAAAUAUUCCCUCUAUUAAAAUCUCCUCUAAUUUUAUCCCUUCCCAUUUACCUCUCCAUUCCUUCUCCUCCUCCUCCUCCUCCUCCUCCUCUCGGCGUUGGAAACCACGGCGGACUAGCGACGGUGACGACGGCGACCGGGAGGGGCCAGGAGGGCGGCGGAUCCUGUCGCCAGAGGGCCGCAGGCGGCGGAUCCGGCUGCUGGAGAGCCACGAGCCGCGGCUCUCGGGCGCGGGCAGGGAGGCCGGAUCCGCCGCCGCCGAGCCGCGGGGAGGGCGGAUCCGCCGCCGCCGGACCACGGGGAGGGUGGCACCAACCUCAACAUCGUCGACUGUGCUGCCAGGCUCCCUCCUCUCUGACCUCGACGCCGUUGACCAUGCUGCCCGGAUCCACCGCUGGUCUUUCUCCUCCGCUCCUCCCUCAUCCCCUUUGCUCGCCGCCACCACCCCCUCUCCCUCUCUCAAAUCUGGUGCGCGGGCCGCGGUGGAGGCUGCAGCGGGGCUCUGCAGCGGCGGUGGCGAGGCGGCGGCGGUGGAGGUCGGGCGGGCUCGGCAGCGGCGUCGUCGAGGUGGAGGUGGUGGAGGCUGACGGGGCUCGGCAGCGGCGGCGGUGAUGGUGGAGGUGACAUCAAAGUUUUUGUUAAUGUGUUCAUUUUCAUGAUGCUUGAAUGCUUGGAUGAAUGGAAAUUUUUAACUGUAAAUUGUUGAUGUAAAUUUCUGUGGAAUUUUAAAUGUUUGGGUAAAUUUCUGUGAAAUUUUUGAAUGAUGGAGCGUUGACGGAGGCGGACGGAGCGGUGUUGCUCCGUCCGUCGUUUUUUUUAAAACUUGGCCAGCAUUAACACUGGCGGCUGGCACAGUGUAACCCGCUAGCGAAAAACAUUUUCGCUGGCGGCCUUCUUAAGACAGCUGCCAGCGAAAAUGGAUCUUUGCUGGCGGCUGGCUUAAGACGACCGCCAGCGAAAAUGAAUUUUCGCUGGUGGUUGAUAACCGCUAGCGAAGAUAUUGAUCUUCAAUGGCCUUUGAUUUGUGGCUGCUCCAAUUUCCGCCAGCGAAAACCUAAAAUGGCUGCCACGAAAGAUGAUUUUCGUAGUAGUGAGUGCUCUCACCUCAUAACCACUCUAACGAGUUUAACUGCCACCAACUCGAGCCUACUGUCAUCCUCUCCUUUCCUGGUGGCCACAGCAGCGACACCAACACCUCGCUACCAUGUUGUGGCCACCACACCAACAUGGAUUUCCUCUAAAAUCGAUCUCUUCCAUCUCUGCCCCUAAGUCUAGCCCUUUAUGCUUUCCUAAUUUUGCGCCAUCAAUGUCACACCGCUGGUAGAGUCUUCAGCCUCUUUUCCUGUUUGUCCCCUCAAAAGUUUAGGAGGUCGGGAGUGGGUGAUUGAAAAUCGGGGAAAUCUAUGUUGUUGCUUAUAAUUUGCAAUUUUGAACAUAUAAUAAAAUAUCCCAAAGUAUUUGAUUGGUAGAUUAGAUUAAGAGUACACUGACUAUAUCUUAAAACUAUGGUGAUAGUGGAAGAAUAUACCGAACGUGAUCCCAAGAACAAAUUCAUCCUUAACACCAUCAUUUCGGAGUUCGCCAACCGGCGCACCCGCGGCGCGUUCAUCGCCGCCGUGUUCUCCAUGCAGGGGUUCGGCAUCCUCGUCAGCUCCGCCGUCACCAUGGCCGUCGCCGCCGCCUUCGACCACUACGCCGGCCACCCCGCGCCGCUCGACACGCCGGAGUGCGCCGACCUCGCCUGGCGAAUCAUACUCAUGGCCGGCGCCGUCCCUGCCGCGCUGACGUACUACUGGAGGAUGCCCAUGCCGGAGACAGCCAGGUAUAUACGUAUACAUCACUUGGUCACUGACAUGUGGUCCCAAAUGUCAUGCAUCCAUGCUAGCUUUGCUCCGUACGUUUGACUUCACAUUUACCAAUUUUGAACAUAAUAAAAGAUCCCAAAGUAUUUGAUUGGUAGAUUAGAUUAAGAGUACACUGACUAUAUCUUAAACUAUAGUGAUAGUGGAAGAAUAUACCGAACGUGAUACCAAGAACAAAUUCAUCCUUAACACCAUCAGAGAAGAAACUGAGUAUGCUAAUCACCCGGCAGUUCGCGUGAUUAAUGAAAGUCUUCUUUUCUUCUCUAAUGGCGAAAAUUGCAGCAAUAAUUUAUUGUCUAGUUGGAAUCUUAAAUGAAUAUUUAGUCUGUUCCUUGUCACUAUGACACUGUCAUAUAUCUAUGCAUGGUCAAUUGCUGUUUCUUUUCUGUAGGCUUAAGUUAUACUGCUAGUAAAUUCUAGUAUCAUGAAGUUGCCUUUGGCUACGAAGUUCUAGAAGCUCAAGCACACAUGCAUCUUCUUGUGAGCAAUAAGCAUGCAUACGUUGAUUAUCUAGAACUAAUCACUCAUACACGCGUCUGUGUCAUUGCUAAUGUCAGCUCAGCAUAUAUUCAGUGGCAGUCAAUUCUAUUGCACAAUUAAUUUGCACUUUAGCUUUAUGCAAGAAGUAGCUUAGCAAGUGUGAUUAACUAGAACAAAAAGGGUUUAAGCAUCACCAAACCACCAAAAAGCUAAUCACCGUACUUAACGUACAACGAGCAGGUAUACGGCGCUGGUGGAGCGCGACGUGGUGAAGGCCACCAACGACAUCGGCCGCGUCCUGGCCGACCUCGACCUGGCCGCCGUCGCCGAGGAGGAGGUGGCGCGGCGGCGGCGUUGAGCCCGCCUCCGGCGCCGACUCCACCGCCGCGCCCUUCGUACGGCCCUCUUCUCUCGGCGCUUCGUCCGGCAGCACGGGCGGGACCUGUUCGCGUGCGCGGCGGCGUGGUUCCUCCUCGACAUCCCCUACUACAGCAGCACGCUGUUCCAGUCGAGAGAGACAAUAUUUUCUAAAGUAAAAUCUUAAUAUCUCUGGUACUAGAAAGUAGUACUCCCUCCGUGCCGUAUUUUAAUGUAUGACGCCAUUGACUUUUCGAACAACGUUUGACCAUUCGUCUUAUUCAAAAUUUUUGUACAAAUACAAAAAUAUUUAUGCCAUACUUCAAGAAUAUUUGAUCAUAAAUCAAGUGACAAUAAAAUAAAUGAUAAUUACGUAACUUUUUUAAUAAGACGAACGGUCAAACGUUGAUAAAAAGUUAACGGCGUCAUACGUUAAAAAGGGAGUACCUAUUAGUAUAUAGUACCAAGUAACAUGAAAUUUCUCAAAGGUAAAAGGGUAGAAAACAGAGGCUUGUCAUCCUUUGGAUUGACAGGAGGAGCAGAAACGCCAAUUUCUUCAGAGUGCUUCUUAGGUUUUCUCCCAUAAUAUAUACUCCCUCCGUCCUAAAAUCAAGGAUUUAAAUAGAUGGUUAAGGCCUUUAGCUGCUUGGGCUUUCAACGGUUAUGAUCAGCUAUAGCGGGCUAUAGCUGCCAUUUAGGUGUUUUGUAAAAAUUGGACAUGAGUCACAGCCUAAAAGGAUAAUUAGGUCAUCAUUAUACUGAAAUUUCUUGCUACUACUUGCAUAUUCAAGAUCAGGAUAAGUUACUAGCUAGUAGUUGCAGAUUCAGAUUGUCAAAAACAUACUAACUUUAAAUUUCAGAGGAUUACAAGCUAAAAAAACAAAGACUGCAUUGGUGAUCUACUGAUCUUAUAUUCUCAUUUCAAAGUUCAAACACAACAUCAAUAUGGAGUAUCAGAGAAUUAGAGAAAAGCUUGGCUGUCUCUGGCUGGGACAUGGUGUCUGUGCCGCUUGGGGAGAUCAGGAAGAGUGACGCUUGGGGGAGAGGACGAGUGGGCCGCCGCCGUCGCAGCCUCUAGGUGCAGCCGCCGCCGUCAUAGGCUCGGAGCAUCCGGGCGUAGCCGCCGCCGUCGCAGGCUCGUAGCCUCCAGGCCCAGCUGCCGCCUCCGGGCAAGGCUGCAGCCGCCGUGACACGCAGCCGCAGCUACCGCUGCCGUCUCCGGGUCCGGGCGCAGCCGCCGCUGUCGCCUGUAGAGGAGGAGAGGGAGUGAGGGACUGAGGAAGAGAGAGAUGGGGGUUAGGGACUUAGGACUACAGCUUUACAUGAGAAGUAGAUGGGCCUUGGCCCGUAGUUAAUUUGAGCCCAAAACCAAAGCUUAUAUGCCGCUAACUGAGGGCAAAAUUAGCGGCUAUCUUCCGCUAAUCCCGGCUAUUAGUGUCAUACAUUAUGUAGCGGCAAAAGUGGUAUUUCUUAGCUGCUUCCCUUUCUAGCAGCUAUCUCCAGCUAUAGCGGCAGCUAUAGCUGGUUAUUUAAAUCCUUGCCUAAAAUACAAGCACUUUUAGCUAUGAAUCUAAGUUGUUAUAUUUUGGGAUGGAGCUAGUACUUAUUCUCUCCCAGAACUUUCGAGAGAAUGCCAUCUCGUUUCUUGCAAAUCUAUAUAUCUUUUAAAUUUGUUGACAAGAUUGAUUAAUAUGUGAUAUCAAUUCUUUUAUAACUUAGAGGUUAAAUUUAAACUUGCACGUUUGUAGGGUAAUAUAUCAUAUAUUAAUCUAUCUUUUGUUCAUACUUUUACUAUCACAAACUCAAAAUAAUUUCAUUUUCACCCAUUGCACGCAUAUCAACAACACGAGAGCAAAAGAUGAGAAUGCCCUGUACUUUAUCUAGUCUUAAUGUAAUUGUCCCUACUUUAUCUAGUGCAAUGCAAUUGUCUCUCGCUUUACCUGAUCCUAAUGUAUUUAUCUCCAUUUUUCAAACUCCAAUGCAACGAUUUUUAAAAAUAUGAAGUUAUUUUGGAUAAAUAAGAUGGUGAAAAGUGAAAUUACUUUGAGAUGGGAAAAUAGAUAACAUGUAAGAAUAAUUAGAAAAUUUUUCCAAUAUAUUGUUGGAUGCAUUGAUUUUGCAAAGGGUGGCUAUCCCCUAUUCAAUAGUUUUGUUCCUUCUCUCUCUCACGAGAACCUGCCCCACCUCUCCUCACUUGUCCCUUUUUUUUUUGAAAGGAUCACAGAAGGGGAGGCCGCGCUGUUCAAAAACUUUAUUGAUAAUAAAUGAAACGAAACAUAAAAGAUUACAACAACCUAGUCCAGUUUAAGAUUACAUCUUUCUCUCUAGCUCUCAUUCAAUCCUCACACAUCUAUAACGGCUCGUAUUGUUGGAUUAGACACCAGUACACUACCGCUCCCACCUCAUAUAUAACCACUCUGACGAGUUUAACCACCACCAACUCUAGCCUACUGUCAUCCUCCUCUCCUAGCGGCCACAGCAGCGACACCAACACCUCGCUACCAUGUUGUGGCCACCACACCAACAUGGAUUUCCUCUAAAAUCGAUCUCUUCCAUCUCUGCCCCUAAGCUAACCCAAGUUUGGGCUGUCGGUGUCGCACAUAGCUGGUAGAGUCAUCAACCCCUUUUCCUGUUUGUCCCCUCGAAAGUUUAGGCAACCGGGAGUGGGUGAUUGAUAGUCGGGGAAAUCUAAGUUGUUGCUUGUAAUUUGUAAUCAUGCACAUGUGUUUAUCUUUUCCCUAGGAAUCUCUGUUAGUUAUACUCCCUAUGUUUCAUAUUAUAAGUCGCUUUAACUUUAAUCUAGUUAAAUUUAUUUAUGUUUGAUUAUGUUUAUAGAAAAAUUUAGCAACAUCUACAAUACCAAAUUAGUUUCAUUAAAUAUAACAUUGAUUAUAUUUUGUUAGGAUAUAUAUUUUAAAAAAUAUUGCUAUAUGUUUUUACAAACUUAAUCAAACUUAGAAAGGUUUGACUGCUAAAAAGUCAAAUGGACCUACGGUAUGAAAUUGAGGAGAAAAUUGACAUUGUGCCACUUUGAAGAGUGGGUUUCGCUGUAAUGCUAUUUCACAAAGUGACUUAGUUAAAAAGCCACUCCCAAAGGAUACCAAACCUUUCUUUUGCCAUAAUCGCCAAUUCACUCUAUUUCUAUCAUUUUUCGCACCCGGUCUGACCAAAAUACCCUUCAGUCAUUUCUUCCUCGAGCUCCCGGCGGCCACCAUUGUAAAAAAAAAAAAAGAAUCAACCGAUAAUGCAAUCCAACACAAGGGAAAAAAAUCCAAUCUUUACCUACCAAGCUGUUGAAAAGAAAUAAUCAAAUAAACAACCAAAUCCUCCACACAGGCACAAUCACAACCAACCAAUUCAGUUUCUCAAGAACAUCAAAGAGUUUUAACUCCGAUAUUUUUUUCUUUUACCCGAUGUUGCUGGUAGGCGUCUACGCCGGAUUCCUUGCCGCCCCGGUUCCAGCUUCCAAUCGAGUUGUAAUCGAACACCGGCGCAUCCUCCGACAGCGCCUUCCUAGAUAGUGACGAGACCGCCGCCGACGAGGGGAUGAACUCCCUGGCAACCGGGUUCAGCUUGGACCAUAGGUCCACUAGCUUCUGCACACCCUUCUGGUAUUCCGCAUCCUUCGCCACCGCCGCCACAGCAGCAGAAUCCGCCGGUGGAGACGCGUGCAAUCCCCCCACCACCACCGCCAUCCGUAGUGGCGGGCUUCUCAGACCAGACGGCGCGGGCGACCAAUCUUGGUCAAAUCAAUCGCCGCCUUCCUUGCGCUGGGCUCUACGCCUCUACUCCUACAGAAGUGAGGAGGAGGAGGUGGAGGUUGGGGGAGGCUACUGCGUGGUGUUGCGCGCUCGAGCUCUCGCCAAUGGCAUUGAUUAGUGGUGGUGGCCGCCGGGAGGGAGAAGGGACCGAAGGGUAUUUUGGUUAGACUGGGUACGAAAAAUGGUGGAAAUGAAGUGAACUGGCGAUUAUGGCAAAAUAAAGGUUUGGCAUCGCUUGGGAGUGGCUUUUUAACGAAGCUGCUUUGUGGAGUGGCAUUGCAGCGAAACCCACUCUUCAAAGUGGCAUAAUGUAGGGAGUAGGAGUUUGUUAACUUCCUUUUCCUCUGGUUGAGUGGAGCUGGCCCAGGACCCUGGGUCUGGUGGCGAAGCUAGAACUUCCAAGUCGCGUACCACCGGCGAAUUAACAAGUGGGAGUGUGGGACGGCGCUUGUGGAGAUCCGAUCGUGACGCAUAUGUCUCAGGCCACCAAGGCCACUUCUUCUUCAUUGUAUUCAUACUAUAAAUAUAAGAGAGGAUGAAACAGAAAAGCCGGCAAGUUACGCGUUGCCAAAACUCGUGUUCAUCGUCAAGGUAUUUUCAGUGCUUGCAAGGUGUUCGUCCGUUGUUCAGGCAUUGUCCACUACUCGCGUGAGUGUAGAUUAAGGGUUUAUGGCCAACAUCAGAAACAUGCAUUGCUAGCAAAACUGAAUAUGCAUAUCCUACAUGUAUUUGCAUAUAGUGUGAGUCCAUGAGAUUGUACACAAGUCAUGCUUAUGCAUGCAUCGACAUCUCGACAGCAUGCACUCUCUCUGACGCACAAAUAGUGAGGAAAAGCACUCUCGCUUUCCGACGAUGAUCGAGUUCACUCACACGGAGACCCGGGCUGGAAGGAUGGGCGACAUGCUGAGGUGCGAGCUCGCCAUGGACGCCGGGCUCUUGGCCGCCUCGGUGUCGCUGCCGCCGUCGCCGACCUGGGUCUGCGCCCUGUCGCUCUCGUUCUCCUCCAGCGACCGCAUCAUCGUCUCCGGCGUGAACACGUAGGUGAGUGCCAGCCCGAGCAGGCAGAUCCCGCCAAGAACGAACAGCGCGUACAUCAUGCCGAUGCCCGGCAGGUGCCCGGCCGCCGCGCCGUCCUUCUGCUGCGACGCCCACAGGAAGCCGAUGGAGCCGACGAGCGCGCCGAGCUUCCCCGCCGCGCCGGAGAGGCCGUGGCACGUCGACCGGAAGCGCGCCGGGAAGAGCUCCGCCGGCAGGAUGAAGGUGGUGGUGUUCGGCCCGAGGUUGGCGGAGAAGAAGGUGAGCGAGUAGAGCACGAUGUAGCCGGCGUGCGCGCCGUGGUCGCGCCAGUAUCCGUCGUACGGACCCGCGAGCGCGAAGAGGAAGACGGCCAUGAGGAGGAACCCGGCCAUCUGGAGGCACCGCCGGCCGACGCGGUCGAUGAGGAGCACGGCGACGAAGUAGCCCGGGAUGGUGGAGGCGACGGCGAUGACGGCCUGGAACUUGGCCACGUUGAACGCCUCCUGGAACGCGUUGAUGAGCCCCGGCGCCGGGAACAGCGGCCGGUAGAUCUGAGACUGGAACAGCGUGCUGCUGUAGUAGGGGAUGUCGAGGAGGAACCACGCCGCCGCGCACGCGAACAGGUCCCGCCCGUGCUGCCGGACGAAGCGCCGAGAGAGGAGGCCGUACGAAGGGCGCGGCGGCGGCGGAGGCCGGCUCAACGCCGCCGCCACCUCCUCCUCGGCGACGGCGCCCAGGUCGAGGUCGGCCAGAACGCGGCCGAUGUCGUUGGUGGCCUUCACCACGUCGCGCUCCACCAAAGCCGUAUAUCUGCUCGUUGGCAGCACAAAUACAACGUUAUGCACGGUCAUUACUUUUUCGUCAUUAACCAUUAGUACGUGCUUAAUUCCCUUUUUUGUAAUUAAUCUACUCACUUAUAGCAACUUUCAGCAUAAAGUUAAAGGGCAAUUUUAUUGAUUAGAGUGCAAAGGGGUUAAAUGUGCAAUUACACUGUGCCACUAAUCAAAAAUCAAAAUCAUAUUUAUAGACCUGACAUCAGCAAUGACAGUACACCUAGCAAAUCAAAGAGUAGCUAGAGACAAUUUCGUGAUGAGUUCUGCUAUACGUCUGACUGGAGCUGUACGACUCACAUCCGACCACCAAUCAACACUCUCAACAUCUUUCCAUGUGGGUCUAGGACCACCGAUCAACACUCUCAAUAUCUUUCCAUGUGGGUCUAGGCAUGUAGCAGCUUUGCACUAGUCGAACACAAAUCGUAUACGCUAUUCGUAUGUGUAGACAUUUUCUUUUGGGAUAUAUAAUGUAUAAGUACUAGUGCUAAUUAACGAUGGCAGUGACGAUAAACAUGCCCAAUUAUUUAAUAUUCCGACUAAACUAUCCAUUUGAAAUUUUCGGCAUCAACGAAGAGAAGGAAGCUUAAUUGACCAUGGAGCUGCCAGUGCCAGGCAAUUAGCAUACUUAUCAAGGAUAAAUUUUCCUCUCAGAAUUUGUUCUUGGAAUCUCGUUUGGUAUAUUCCUUAUCUAUCACAUUUGUUUAACACGGUCCAUGUACACUUAAUCUAAUUUACCAAUCAAAUACUAUUAUUUAAGAUUUUUUUAAGGUUCAAAUGGUUGCUGUGAAGUCAAAGGUACGGAGGAAGCCAAUGCAUGAAUGACAUCUGGGACCACAUGUCAGCGGCCCAAGUAUAGUUGGUACCUGGCCGUCUCCGGCAUGGACAUCCUCCAGUAGUACGUCAGCGCGGCGGGGACGGCGCCGGCCAUGAGAAUGAUCCGCCAGGCGAGGUCGGCGCACUCCGGCGUGUCGAGCGGCGCGGGGUAGCCGGUGUAGUGGUCGAAGGCGGCGGCGACGGCCAUGGUGACCGCGGAGCUGGCGAGGAUGCCGAACCCCUGCAUGGAGAACACGGCGGCGAUGAACGCGCCGCGGGUGCGCCGGUUGGCGAACUCCGACAUGAUGGUGGCCGACAGCGGGUAGUCGCCGCCGACGCCGACGCCGAGGAGGAAGCGGAAGAAGCAGAGGCUGGCGAGCGCGCACCGGCGCGUCCGGCACACGGAGAAGCCGCUCCCGACGGAGCUGCACACCAUCAGCAGCAGGCACGCGCCGUAGACGCGGCGCCGCCCCACGCGGUCGCCCAGCGCGCCGAACACCACGUUCCCGAUCACCGCGCCCAGCAGCGCCACUCCGACGGUCGCCGACACGACGGCCGGCGGCGUCACCCCCGGACGGGCGCCGCCGUCGGAGUAGUACACCCGGCCCACGAUCUUCAUGACGGGCGCGAUGCAGAAGAGGUCGUAGGAGUCGGUGAAGAGUCCCAUGCCGGCGAUGACGAUGGCCUUGAAGUGGUAGUACUGCGUCCGCGCCUGGUCCAGCGCCGUGAGCACGCCGAUCGGAGCCAUUGUCGCCGCAGCGAGCGAGCGAGCACGCUAGCAGAAGCAGCCGACGAACGAGCUUGCAGCCGUGGAUUGAUGAUAUUUUAGCUGGUUUUGUAUAUAUACAGGUGGCGAGGUAGACGACGAUGGUGGUGGUGAGUGGUGACGGCGACGUGAGGGGUUAAAGAAAUGGCCGGGGGGCGUUGACAUCACCGUACAAAAGUGAGAUGCCGAAGGAAGAUGCCACUAAUCGUUGGCUUGAUCAGAUAGAUUACGCGAUAAAAUACGGCCACUUACCCACGGUGUUGUACAAAUUAUAAUCUGCCGCUAGCGCUUUCGUGUUCGACCCUGGUGUUUGGUGUUGGGAAAUUGGGAUCGAGUGUAGGACCCUGGUGAUACACAUUUGUCUCCAGAAAGUGACACAUCCAUAUAUUCUGGUUAAGAUUUAGGGGGUGUUUAGAUCCACCGGCAAAUUUUUUUGGGGCUGCUAUACAACGGAAUCCCGUUUUUUGAACGGGAUGAUACCGCUUAGGUAUCGGGUUCUGAUACCUAACAUGUAUCAUGCGUUUCUACCACAUAUCAUGUGAUACUUGCAAGGUAUCAGAUGAUAUCUAUCAGGUAUCAUGCGAUUCUUACCAUGUAGAGGGUGAUACUUGUGAGGUAUCAGGUCCUGAUACCUAACCGGUAUCAGGUGAUACCUAUCAGGUAUCAAGCGAUUCUACCAUAUAUCAGGUGAUACUUGUGAGGUAUCAUAUGAUACCUAUUAGGUAUCAUGCUAUUCUUACCACAUAGAGGGUGAUACUUGCGAGGUAUCAGGUCCUGAUACCUAACCGGUAUCGGGUGAUACCUAUCAGGUAUCAUGCGAUUCUACCACGUAUCAGGUGAUACUUGUGAGGUAUCAGAUGAUACCUAUCAGAUAUCAUGCGAUUCUUAUCACGUAGAAGGUGAUACUUGCGAGGUAUCAGACGAUACCUACUAGAUAUCAGGAGCUAGGCACCAAAGCGUCGUCGCCGGUGGUCCCACCGUCCACGUCCCAUGCCAGAGCUCAUUGCCGGCGGCCACAUCCUCCACCGUCCGUGCCACGUCGGAGCUCGUCGCCAGCGGCCGCAUCCUCCGGCAUCCACGCCCCACACAGGAGCUCGUCGCCGACGGCCGCAUCCUCCACCGUUCACGCCACGUCGGAGCUUGUCGCCGGCGGCCGCAUCCUCCACCGCCUCGACGAGCUAGCCAGGUACGUACUCGUCGUGCUCCGCGCCGAUGAUGGCGGCGAGGGCAGCACCUUCGCGCUCUACUUCCUUAUCUGCCGCCGCGUCCGCGCUAGGCUCCUCCCCGGCGCCGGCGAGGAGCUCGCGGUCGCGGGGCAGUGCGUCGAUGGUGUGGGCGUGGGCGCCACAGCCGGCGUCGCCGCCGAGGAGCUCACGGUCGCGGGGUAGUGCGUUGACGGUGCGGGCGUUGGCGCCGCAGCGCCGCCGCCCAUGUCGGCCAUGCGUGUGUGUUGGAGCGGCACCGUGUCCUGCAUAGGCUGCUGCUGCUGCUCGGGACGUGCAUGAUCAGGUAUCAGUCCUCUUUGAAUAAGUAAGGGUUCCGUCCGGACGGGAUUCCGGUACAUAGCAUUCCCAAAUUUUUUUUCCCGUCACAUCGAACGUUUGAACACAUGUACGGAGUAUGAAAUAUUAAAAAAAAACUAAUUUCACAGUUAGCGUGCAAAUUGCGAGACGAACACUGGUGGAGAAGUGCUUUUUAGUCCCGGUCCGUAACCCCUCUGUACCGGGACAACAAAUCCGGGACUAAAGAUCGCUUUCUUUAGUCCCGGUUCAAAUUCAAACAACAACCGGGAAUAAAGAUGGGAGCAUCUUUAGUCCCGGUUAUUAUUACCAACCGGGACUAAAGAUAUUUUUUCUUUUUUUCUCUUUUUCAUAUUGAAUAUUGAUUUCACACCAUCCCCUAAUCAUGCCAAGAAAUCCCAAAUCCAAAUCAUCACAUAUCACAGAACAUCUCCAAAUCCUCGAGAUGACUCCCGGUCGGGCGCCCGAUCGGGAGGGGGUAAAAUCGGGCGCUGACGUCAGCAUGAUGUCAGCGCCCGAUUUACGUGCAAAAUUAUUUUAAACUGAUUUAUCUCUUAAAUUAUUUAUCCAAAUCAUGAUCCGGUUGCACCAUUAAAUUCGUUACAAUUAAAUCUUCAAAACAAGACCACAAAUGGAUAUAUUCCGACGAAAAAAAAUUUAUCUUAUUAUUUAAUUAUUUUUAAAUGUUGCACGAUGUUCCACUAGAUAUAUCAUAAUUGUUUCACUAAGCAGAUCGAAAAUGUUUCACUCAUUUAAAUUGGGUGUUGUUUCACCUUAUGUAAAAACAAUGUUUCAGCAAAUAGCGAAAGAAUGUUUCAGUUCACUGCAACAUUAGAUUUAUACAUAGUGAAACAUUGUGAGUACACUAGGUGAAAUAUUUUUCGGUGGAACAAGAAAUAAACGAAAUUCCCUUAAUAUGGGGUUUCCAAAAUAUGUGGGUUUUUUUUGUUGCAAUGGAAUGUUUCGUUCAGUGCAACAUUCGAUCUGUAUAUAGUGAAAUAUUGCGAGUACACUAGGUGAAACAUUUUUGGUGGAACAAAAAAUAAACCAAAUUCCCUUAAUAGAGAGUUUCCAAAAUAUGUGGGUUUUUUUGUUGCAAAAGAGUAUUUUAAUCCACUGUAACAUUACAUCUAUAAAUAGUGAAACAUUAUAAAUACACUAGGUGAAACAUCUUUUGUGAAAAAAAAGAGGGAGAAUUGAGUGGGCCCAAAUACGCACGUGGGGGAGGGGGCACGGGGGGAGCGCCCGAUCCGGCUCCCCCCGCGCCGGGCGACCAGGAUAGAGCAUUCCCGAAAUAGAUCAUCUCCAAAUACAUCACAAACUCUUAAAAAAAUUACAUCACAAGUUCUAAAAAAUACAUCACAGAUUCCCAUCACACACAAAUCAAAUACAACAUAGGAUAAAUCAUAAAUUGUAAAAAAAAAAGAAAAAAAAAGGAAAAGCCGGCCGGCCGGCCACUACCGCCUCCCCUCCUCCCCUCCGCGCCGCCCGCCGCCGCCGCCGCCGCGCAGGCCCCCACGCUGGUCGCCGCCGCGCGGCCCCCCGUGCCGCCUCACCGGCCCCCUGUCUGCUUCGUUGUGACGAAUGGAAGGAAAAAAAAGGAAAGAGAAGGUAGGAGUUAGAGAUAAGGAAAUAAAUAAGUUAGAGAGGAAAAAAGAGAUAGAGGGAGGAGUUUGUUGUGUGGACGGGAAAAGAGGAUCAGUAAUAGGGAUUAUAUAGUGUGUUUUGAUUUUUAUUCCCGGUUAGUAACAUUAACCGAAACUAAAAAUAGGUUUUUAGUCCCGGUUGGUGUUACUAACCGGGACUAAAGAACCUAGGGCCCUGAUACGGUCUGACAUGGAAUCAACCGGGACUAAAGAUCAUCUGAUCUUUAGUCCCUCCAUCUUUAGUCCUGGUUGGAGUUACCAACCAGGACUAAAGAUGAUUUUUAAUCCCGGUUGGUAACAACAACCGAGACUAAAUAUCAUCCUCUUAUAAACCAGGACUAAAAAUCAUUUUUAGUCCCGGUUUUUAGUGGAUGCGGGACUAUUGUGGAUUUGGGUCGACCGACCAAAAGAUGGUUUCUCUACUAGUGGAAUCUUUUAAGCCUAAUUGCGCCAUGAUCUGAUAAUAUGGUGCUACAAUAAACAUCUGCUAAUGAUGGAUUAAUUAGGCUUAAUAAAUUCGUCUCACAGUUUACAUGCGGAUUAUGUAAUUUGUUUUAUUAUUAGUCUAUGUUUAAUACUUUAAAUGUGUGUCUGUAUAUUUGAUGUGACCGGGCAAAUUUUUUGCCGGUGAAACUAAACGCAGCCUUACUCUAUCCGUUUCAUACUAGCCACUUAGUGGCGCGUUUGCGUGGCUUUUUAACUGACAGUACAUAAUAAGGAGAAGUUAUUAUAGUCACGAGUGGAUUAAAUUUUUUUUAUUUAUGCAUUGGGCUUAUUUUUUAAUGAAAAAUCUAAUUUAUGUGGUGAAAAGGAUUGUCUUUAAGGUGGUAUUCUCAAUAGUUUUUCUUAAUCAAGUAGUAAUAUUGUAAUUCACAAUUAUUUGUUCGGCAAACAUUUUAAUAAUUGGGUGUAGCUUUUCUGAAGUAAAUGCUGGAAAAAUUUCUAUUAUUUUCUUAAAAAGGGUUGUUUUAUUUAGUAGGAAUGCAUUUCAUAAGAAAGAUGAGUAGAACAUUUGAAGAGUUUUUUUUUUGCCAUGCCGACCAUGUUUUUGUUGUUUUCCUGUUUCCUACAAUCUUUUCUCUACGUUGGCUGCCUGCAAGUUGCAAAGACUUCUUUUUAAACUCUCCUUGUUUGACUAGGAUUAAUCCAACGGAUGUUGUUGCUUAUUUCUUUACAUUGGAUGGUACUAGAUUUCUUACUCACAUGGCCCAACCAGAUUGCAAGAAAGUUUAGUUCUUUCAAUACUUUAGAUUAAAAGUAAUUUGGCAUUUUUCUUAAAUUUGAUUAAGUUUAUAGAAAAACUAGAAACAUCUACGGUACCAAAUUAGUUUAAUUAAAUUUAACAUUGAAUAUAUUUUUAUAAUAUAUUUGUUUUGUACUGAAAAAAUUAGUACAUUUUUCUACAAACUUGGUUACACUUUUAAAAAAAGUCAAACAACUUAUAAUAUGAAACGGGAGAGAGUAGAUUUAUGUUUCAUUUCUGCUGACAACACUAUUAAGCUCAUAGGAUUGCGACCACGAUGGAUGUUUUCUACUCCGUUCGUUUUAUAUUAUAUAUUAUAAGUCAGUUUCACUUUAUUUUAGCCGUGCCAAAAUUUAUAGAAAAAUCUAGCAAUAUCUAUAAAAAUAUAAAAAUAUAGUUUCAUUAAAACUAACAUUUAAUAUAUUUUAAUAGUAUGUUUGUUUCGUAUUGAAAAUAUUGUUAUAUUUUUCUAUAAAUUUGGUCAAAUUAAUUGAAAAAGUUUGAUAAAAAAAGUCAAAAUGAUUUAUAAUAUGAAAUGGAGAUAGUAGAGGACAAUCUAAAUGAGCCAACCCAUCGUCACUUGUACUUCUAAGUCUUAUCUCUUCCCUAGUCCGUUUCAAACUAAGAGGACGGCUAUACCGGGGAAUGGCUAGAGUAGUGACAAGACGGCACAUGCCUAGAGGAGUGUAGAGAACCCAUUAGGCAGCCUUACAACCAAAGGAGCGGUCGAGAGGUGGGACCAAGGGGUCUGCUGAACCUCCAUUGUGGCAUCUCACCCCUACAACUCAAGUAGAGUACAACUCACUUUCAUAUUUAGACUACUCUAUAGAUCUAGAAUAUAGAAAGAGAGUGAGAUGAAACUCCAAAACAAGCGUUCCAGAUGUCAGAGUUCUCUUCGGGGGAGUUCCGGAGAAGUGCCGGAGAUGUCGGCAUUCUCUCUAUUGGAGUUCUAGAGGAGUGCCGAAGAUGUCGGCACUCUCGUCGAUCUUGUACCUCGAUGAAUGUUUUUUACAUAAGUAAGUAUUCAUGACUUUCUUUGGCAUUUACUUUUCUUGUUUAUGUAAAAUAUAUUCUCAUCAUUAUGGGUUCGUCACUUAAUUAGUAUUUAUACUAAGUGCUCUAAUACUAAUAAUACUAAGACUCUAGAUAAAGAAAGAAGUUCUUGCUAAGACUUGAGUAGUAAUUGAUAACAUAAACGUGAUGUCUGGGUUAGAGGUUACCUUUUGUUGUGUGUUCAACAGAAAGUGAGGUCGACCGGCGGCACGGCGAGAGCAACUAGAACGUUGUGCGUUGGGAAAACAGCCUGCAACGCUGUGGUAACUGACAAUAGCUGCCGCCUCCACCGCCGCCGCUGCUUGUCCAUAAAUCUCCUCUCCUCCCACAAUGUCUUUGCCGCCAAGCAAGUCAAAGUGCCGGCGGCUACUCGCUCUGCCAGUGGUCUACCCUUGCGAGGACAUCACGCGCGGCACUACUGCUCGCCUCGCUGCUCUCCCUCGGCAAAAUGGGUGAAACUCAUUCGCACAAAGCUUGUGCCGGUGCUCAUCAAGUUGCUCGACCUCGCCUUCCUUCAUGUACGCCUCGCCAUGGGCCUCCACAUCCGUGCGCCACUCGGCAGCAGGAGAGGAGGGGAAGAGAGUGGGAAGAUAGGAAGAAGAGAUAGGAUUGUCACCGUUGUUGCAUCGGCUGAUGCCGGGUGCACCAGCAAUUCAAUUGUGGUGAACACCAUCCGGGAUGAGGCGAUGGUGGCGACCGGUGAUGCGGACCAGCCGUCGUCCACCUCAACCUCGCUGUGCCCGGUCAUCCUCCCACACCCCCGCGCCAUCCUUGGCCUCCUCCUACAGUUGCACACGUCGUCCCGCCCACUGCCACCAUGGCCGAAGGGGAAGAAAAGAGAGAGAUAAGGGAGAGAGAGGGGGGAGGAGGAAGAAGGGUUUGAGAGAGAAUGGAUGACAUGUAGGCCCCACAUGUCAGUGGGUCCACAAUAUUGUUUUUGAAUGACAAGUGGGUCCCACAUAUAUAUUUUAAAUCUUAUGCCACAUAAGCGCCACAUGGGACGAAGACCAGGUCAACAUCGCUACGUUAGAGCCACGUCAGCAAAACCACCAUUCAAAACCGCUGAGGCCUUGUUCGGUUUGGAGGGGAUUGAAGAGGAUAGGAGGGGAUUGAGGGGGAAUAAUUCCACACCACAAUAGGUAUGGAAUAAAUCCCCUCCAAUCCCUCCCUCAUGGAGAUUAACCGAACAAGACCCUGAGGGAGUCAAAUUGUAUUGGUUUCAAUAGUUGGGGGAGUCACCUUAUCCACUCUAAUUCAUAAAGAAAGAGUAAAGAAAGAAGAAAACAAGGUCGGGGAAGUAAAGUAGGAGACUACUAUUAUGUUGACUCAACGGGCCUAAGAACGUCGUUCCUCUUUACAGAAGUUGAGUCAGAGCGAGGCGCCUCGGCUGGACGAUGCAGGUUUGCCUAAGCUACUUCAUUCUUGCUAUUCUUGUAAGAAAUGAUAUUCUUGAGAAUAGGGCCCAAAGAGCACCAAUCUAUGGAGGGAAUUCUUCGAUUCUGGGUCAGAUCAUGGGUCAACUUAAUAAUAGGCACACGCUCCUCUGCUCCAAAAAGGUUAUCGAAAAGAUCUUUGUCACGUCUAGAAAUUCACUGGUAAUUUCCGAACUCAUUUGUGCAUAAAAUCCUCGUCCAGGAAUCAGCCGAGGUACACAAACUGACAAUUUAAUGUACAAAUCCAUCAUAAUAAUUGCGUUACAUACUUACAAAAGAAAAGAAAAACAAUAGUGGAUUGACGGUCUAGCGAAGCUCCGACUCCACUCCCACAGGCAGCUCAACUGGGGUUUAAGCCAAACGUCUUCUCCUUUGCGACUUCUCUUCAACUGAGGUAUGAUUGAUUAUUGCAAGGUGAGUACAUGGAAUACUCCACAAGCCACACAGCAAAUAUGCAAGUGCACAAGGAUACCAAUGGAUGGCAUAAUAUAGGCUUAUUUGCAAAAGCAGCAUUUAGCAAACAUUUAGGAGUAGUAAAACAGUAGAGUAAUUAAUCAUCAAUAUUAAUCAACACUGAACAACACUCCCAUUGUUGGUAUUUCUUAACGACAUUAGUAGAAAUAUAAUUCCCAGUAAUGGCGCAGAAAUACUCCUGGUAUAUUAUGGUUACAGAGUUCAUCCGCAAGCGCACGGAUACACCAUAGUAGCAUUUCACCCGAGAGUAUUCCAAGGGUAUCGUAUUUAUUUAAUCCCGUGGGAAGAUCAUGGUAGAGAGAACUUGACUAAUAAUUUAUAUAUUACUUGUAAUAAUCAAAGUCUAAGCAGGGGUUAAGAUAAUUUAAGGGUAGAGUGACACACAAGCAAUUAAGCUACUCAUUCUCAUACUAAAUUAUCUAAGCUAAGUGGAAAGAAAAGAGAAAGAUAAUCUAUUCCUAUACUUCUAGUAUACAUAAUAUACAUACAUUCUAGUCAUCUGAUAUACUAGCUAAUACCCUUUAUCUGAUGCCCUCCUGGUACUUCGAGAAGCCACCCCUGGCUGCCGAGUUCCUUACAACAGCCCGUCAUGACCAUACAUGUGCGGAGGAAUACCCAUACUGAGCUGUCACCACCAUCAGCGGCCCACCUCUCAUCCGCAGCAUAUAACCCCAAAUUAUGAUAUCCCGUAAUCUAGACACCACGUCUAAACUACCAGAUACUACUCUAAUACCAUCGUCAUGACAUAGAGUAAUUGCAUAAGCAAAAAUUAUACCCGCACCAAAGCAUCUCCCAGAUAAGCUAGCAGUAUAUUCAGUAUAACAUGAAUAUAAUGUAAAGUAGGUAUUCAUAUACUCAGAAAGUAAUUCAAUACCAUAAAUGUAUAUAGAAGAGUAUUCUAAAUAAAGUAUAAAGCUUACAAAAGAGAAGAGAAGAGCUACUAGAGCCAUACCCGAACUCUUCCGAAGACUUCCGGACUCCUGAUUUUUACUCUAUUCCUAUUCCACUAGCAUAAGAAUACUAAACUAACUUGAGAGAAUAUGAGAGAGCUCUUGCUUGAGGUGUAUGAGUGAAGUAAGAAGAUGAGCUUCUUUUAUAGGCAGGUAAUGACGGUUGUGACGGUUGGAAUGGUCAGUAAUACCCUCCAACCAUCAUUGGGGAUCAAGCCCAACUGUCCAGAAAAAGCACUGCAUCCAACGACGGCGAGGGAGGUUCGGCCGAACCAGGGGCCGGCCCAACCAGCCCAAGUUUUGGCUGGCGGCCUCCUCCGUUGCUUCACUUCGUAGACUUGUGAAUUUUGGCCCAAUUCAUCGUGUCAAUUCUGAGUUCUUAGCCCAUUCAUGCAUAAGUCUGGUUCUCGACAUCGUCCGAUUGAUUUAUCGUCUAAGUUGAUGUCGGUUCUCCUCCACUUUAUGGUUAUUUUCUGCAAAAGGUUAGUGAACCUAAUACUAAUACUAGUGGAAUAUUAUUAUUCUAACUUGUAUAUGCAUUGCAAGCAUAACUAGUUCUCCUCUAUUUUGGUAAUAUUGACGAUCGAAACUGAUCGAUAACGACCGUCAACACCCAUGCUGCACAGGCCCAACCAUCCUAAACAACCAUACCCGACUGUACAGAUCUAACUCCAAACCAGGAGCUAAGCAAAUUAUUACCAGUUAUAUCAUCAAUAAUUAUUGUAAGAGGUAUGAGACUAAUCACGAAAAACAUUGCUCAACCCGCCCAUGACCGCGGGCACGGCUAUUCGAAUAGUUUUACUCUGGCCAAAGGUGUACCAUUGUACCCACAGGAUAUAGCCCCAAAACAUCUUACCAUGCCCUCAGUACCACCACGGUACCUCGAAACGGGAUUGUGACAGUACCCCUUAUACAACGCAAUCCACCAUAGCGCACCGUUCCUGGAUCAUAAUCACCCCUCAAUAUCCAGAGGCAUGGACUCCGCAGCGACCCCCACGGACUUCUCGCCGCUUCACAGUCCGGUGCCCCGCAAUGAACCAUGCUAUACAAAAGGUAAAUCCGUUGCCCACGCUGGCUUGUGGUUGGCACGGUUAAUGUCUCACAAGAGUAACUCGCGAACCGGUCCUUAAUUGUCAUGAGCAUGACCUUCAAAACUAUGUGCUCACAACCCACCAUUGUCAAGUUUUAGUUGGCAAGUAAUUAAUUAACCAAUCACGAUUGACCAUCGUGAGCUACCAUUAAAUAUAAUCAUAAGUGGUAGUGUAGCAUUAGUUAUCCUAAUCAUGUGCUAAUGUUUCUAAGCAUGGGUAAGCAAUUAUGUCUAACAUCUAGUUGAACCAAUAUAUAAAGCUCAACUAGUCCAAUUACCCAAGGUAUCAAGGAAUAGAGUAAUCAAUGCAAAUUGGCCAUAAUAAAGGAAUAGGUUCACACCACCCGGUGACAUUCGAAAAUAAAUGCACAGUUGAAACAAAUAGAGAAUUUAAAUAUAGGAUCAACAUGUUCAAAGGAAAUGUGUUUAGGAUCUGUGUGACUUGCCUUGCAAUAAUCGGUCUUGAAUUAGUCUUCUUGAACCACUUCCGACGCACUCAGAAACCUUCGAAACGACGGAAAUGACAAGCUAACACGCAAAACGAGGAAAAAUACUAAGAAACUCGAAAUAAACAGUACAUAAAAAGUAAACAAACAUGUAGAUCAUGAAUUUAGAUGAAUUACGAGACUUGAACGGCCUCAUUCCAACUUCAUAUGAUUUAGUUAUGAAUUUUACAAGAUUAAUCGGAUUUAAUUCACGAUUUAUUUUAGAGAAGGAAAAGGGGAUUUAAUUACUUUUCCAAUCAAACUAAUCACUGAAAUGAUCUUUGAAUCGUUAAAAAUACUUCAAACGCUCAAAUAAUUUCAAGAAAAAACUCGCAACUACUUGGACACUUAGAGUAUUUAACAAAAUUAAGAUCAGAUCAUUUAAUGACUAAUUUAAUAUUUAAAUAAUUGCUGAACUAUUCUUUGUAUUAUUAAAAUUAGUAAUUGAGCUCUGAAAAAUCCGAGAAAAUUUUAGAGAGUAUAAUUAAUCAUGGAGAAUUUAAUAAAAAUUAAAUCCAACCAUGCUUUAUAUUUACGAAAUUUUAUUUUCCACAUUUAACUUCACUUGUAAAUUAAUGAACAUUUAAUAUAAAUUCUAAUAAUAAUUUAUUAAAUAAUUUAUAAAUCCUGAAACGAAAAGCAGGAUGUGACAAUCUUGUAGGCUGAAAAUCCGUAGGUUUACCAUCAUAAAUCCCCUCCAAUCCCUCUCUCAUGGAGAUUAACCGAGCAAGACCCUGAGGGAGUCAAAUUGUACUGGUUUUAAUAGUUGGGGAAGUCACCUUAUCUGGUUUCCUAGUUGAGGGGUACGAAUUAGAUUCGGCCAAAUUUUUAAGGGAGUUACAGUGAACUUUUUCCCCUCCUCUCUGCAAGGAAUAAGUUCACUGUGGGUCUCUCUAUUUGUCGCCCAGUACGAUUUUUGUCCCUUAAUCAUAAAACCAGGUACGACGGGUCCCCCAACUUACGAAACCGUUUAAAUGAGGUCCCUCAGCAGUAUUGUGUCCGGUUUUUGCUGAGGUGACGCCUACGUGCCUCCUUUGACUAGGUCUUUGUUCAACUUGUCAUUGACGUGGCACUUACGUGGCAAUUGUAUCCGCAAAAAAUAAUAAAACUCAUGGGACCCAUAUGUCAGUCGCACACAAAUAAUAAAAAAUGGUGGGCACAUGAGGACCCACACGUCAUCCUCACUACCCUCUUCUCUCUGUCCCCCUCUCUCUUUCUCCUCUCUCCCUCUUCUAUCGCUCUCCAGCCAGCGGAGCAGGAUGGACGGCGGCCGGAGUGGCGGAGCAGACGACGGCAGGGCGGAGCGGUAGCCAGAGCGGGCGACGGCGGGGUGGGAGAGGAGCGGCGGAGUCGGGUGGGAGAGGAGAGACGCAAGCGAAGCCGCUCUACUCGCGGAAGCAGCACAUGGGGGGCCGCACCGAAGAGCAUCCCCAUUCGUUAGCCGGGCUACCUCUCUCAAAAGCAGCCGCAAGGGCAGGCCAGGCCACAGUGCCUCCCUCGCGCUUCUCAGAGCAUCUCCAACAGCCUCUCCAAGCCAAAUUUUAGCUACUCUAGCAAAAAAAUAAACUCCUCCAACAGCCUCUCCAACUGGAUGGCCAAGCCAUCUGGCUGGCCAAAACACUCCCUCCCUUAGCCAAAUUUGGCCAGCCGAAGUCACUGGCUAACGGUGGUCCCCACGAAAACACGCAUGGGAGAUGGAUCGGGGCAACGGUGAGGGAGGGGCGACGAAGGCCCGCGAGAAGCGAGACGGCUCACGGCGAGGGCGCGACGGCUCGACGGCGAGGCGGCUCGACGGCGGGGCGCGACAGCGGGGCGCAACGGUGAGGCGGCUCGACGACGAGGACGCGAGGGCUCACGGCCGCCGCUGUCCGCGCCCUCGCCGGCUGCAACCUCCGCCAUCGUCCGCACUGUCGCCGGCCACGCAAGCACCGGCCUCGACCUUCGUCGGCCGCGCCGUCACCCGCCGCAACCGCCGCUGCCGUCCGCGCCCUCUGCUGUCGUCCGCGCCAUCGCCGGCCGAGACCGCCACCGUCGGCUGCGCCAUCGCCUCCCUUUCCUCGCAGCGGCUCCUUCUCGUCCUAAUCUGCACGCCCACGCCGUCGUCCUCGAUCUACCGACACAGCGCCGCCGUCGUCAGCAUCCUAGUGCAGCGAGGGAGGGAGGGAGCGGCGGCGGGGCGGCUCGACGCCUUCGCCACCGCCUCCGCAGCGUCACCAUCAUCCGCGCCGUCGCCCGCCGCAACCUCCGCCGCCGUCCACGACCUCUGCCGUCGUCCACGUCGUCGCCGGCCGCGACCGCCGCCGUCGGCCACGCUGUCACCUUGCUUUCCUCACUUUCGCCGUCGCCUGGCACGAGCAGGAGCACGAGCAGAGGAUUGGAGAGAGGGGGAGGAAGAAGAAAGAGAAGGAGAAUCACAUGUGGGGUCCAUUGGUUAUUAGAGAGUGGAAUGUGGAGAGUCUGUUGGAAUAGAAGACAAACUUGACUCUCUAAAUUUUUAUCGGGCUAGCCAAAUAGGUAUUUGGAGUCAAAAAUAGUCAUUCAGUUGGAGAUGCUCUCAGGCGAUGGAGGUGAGCCCUCCCAAUUCCUUGCUUGUUAAUUUCGUCAGACAUUUGCACACGAAUCCUCACAGAUAAUUAAUUCUAUGUGAUUAGAUGGUGACAAUGUCAGCAUUAAACUUUGCAAAACCAUAAAAGCUUUGGUAAUUUGAUGCCUUGUUUGUGAUUUAGCAAUGAUAGGAAGCAAUGUUGAAUUGGAUAGAUC